GAUUGUCCUGGGAAGGUGUCGACGAUCUUGACGACGGACUCGUCGCUGACAUUGUCGGUCUGGAAGAUACCCUUGCAGACACCGAUACGGUCGUCGCGGGUGGGAGCCCAGUAGAACUUCUCCAUACGACCAUCACGGAUGAGAGGGGCGUACAACGUUGAGAAAUCGUUACCAGUGACGACGAUGGGCACACGAGGGUUCUCCUCCUUGUUGUACAUGCCUGGGAGCUGCACGUUGGUGGGGGCAUCGGCGAUGUUCAUGAGGGUGGCGUUCACCAUCUGGUUGUUGACGGUGUACUGUGUGGUCCCGCCCAUCCGACCCGCACCGGCGUCAAGAUCGUUGAUGAAGAGGCAGCACAUCUUACCCUUCUUGAUCAUGUCUGCAGCCUCACGGUACCGCUGCCUGAUGAGCUUGGCUGGCUCUCCGGCGUUGCCACUCUCCAGCUCUCCGGCACUCAUCAUGAUUGGGCUGUGGUGAAAAGCACACGUCAUUAUCUAUUACUAGCACUGUGGCUUGAUGCAUCUAUGACUGUGUGACAGUAUGUAUAAUAGAUGAAUGUGAAUUCCUACUUGAUGCCCAUCUUGGCGAAGACAAGCUCACACUGGAAGGAUUUUCCUUGACCCUUGCCUCCCCAGAUACCCAAGAUGAGUGGGAUCUGAAUUUCGAUUCAAGGUCAGUUCCAGAAUCAGAAUGAUUUUCUUGCUGCUAAUCAAUAGUCAUGAUGCAUACCUUGAUGUUGGGCAGGGUCAUGAAGUUCUUGGAGAGAUGGACAACAAGCUUGUCCAUGAAAGCAGGAGCGAUGUAGAAGCCUCCCAUGGUGUUGUCGAAGUCGUACUUCUUGAGUCCCUGGCUGACGUACUCGUAGGAGCUGAGGACGGCCUCGUGGGUGCCGUCGCCCGUGGGCGCCUGGAAGAGGGAGUCCACGAUGCCCUUCCCUCUGGUGAUGUCCUGCUGGUCGUCGGAGAUAUCGUAGGCAAGACCCUUCCACUUGUCUGUGUUCCUCUUCUCGUCGAUGUUUUCCGCUGCCAUGACUGUGAACCUGUUGGCCUUGGAGCUCUUGCCAUGGUAGUUCACGGCCGAGGUCACCUGCUUCUUGAGCUUCUUCCCGAGGAAGUUGGUCGGCGUAGAAGCCUGUAUACAUUACACACACACACACAUGAGACGCCGUUGAAGACAUUGAUACGAUAUCAUCACUAAACAAGAGAUGCAAUCAAUCAAUUGAUCGAUCGAUCAGUGUGUCAUACGCACCGGGGCACCGACGGUGGAGGAGAAGGCAGCAGCCAUCUCGGUGCUGCUUGGUCGACCUUGCUAGCAACGGUGGAUGCGCGGCUGUGCUGGUGAUCAGCGAUGAAUGACCGCUGCUGCUCAAAGUAUAGAGGCCCAGCUAUGAGAUGCCUUAAAUACACAUGGAUUGGCAUAUUGCUGCGGUGGGGAGCUUGGAGGAGGAGGCGGCAUACACACACCCCUGCUUGUGGAUCAGCUUCCCGAUCCCGCACAGGCCACACGCUGGAGAUUGGGUUCUGAGCCUCUUGGCCGGCCGGUUGGAUGACUUGGACCGUCAAGACCAAACGCUGCAGCUGCAGCUGCAGGUACGUCUGCUGGCCAUCAAUUCCAUGGCCUUCCACGGCCACAGAAUCUAACCAUUCAUGCUCAAAUCAUCUCCAUUUUCUUCCGUGCCUUUCGUUUUUCCUUUCACCGGAUCGUCUUGUUUAUUAGCCAAGCUAUGUCGUUGCAUAACCACAAAAAAGGGUCUCUCCUUGCUUGUUGGAUGAGGCACCCAAGAUUGUAUUCUAGUUCAAGUACCACAAAUUUGUUGCUGCCAUACAUAUACUGGUUUGUUGAUAACCAUCAAGCUAGGGAUGUCAUUUGGCACCACACAAAUAAGUCCUGGUUGACAUCAAGCACAUGGGUAUGUACUUUUGUGUACUCCAAUAAUAUUGCCACUUCGGUAAAAAAAAUGAAACGUAUUAAGAGAAAAGCAAGUCAUGCAGUGUUUUUUUAUUUGAAGGGAAAAUGAUAGCGUGUGUAUAUGUCACGUCUGUAAUGUUUUCAUGUAAAUGUUAUUGGUGCUGCUUAGCUCAAGUUUCCUGGAAUUAUCAUUGUCUUGGUCUACUACAGACCAUUGAUCCUUUUGAAGAAUGCUAGCCGUGUUUGCCUUGCACAAUCUUUCUCCAAUACGCGCUCUAGUGAUGUUGUCCUUGUUAAUCAGUUUCCAAAUCCGUCAAGAGGAAAAUAUACAUGUCACUAGUCAUGACCCCCACAUCCACAGUACCUAAUCAAGAAUUUUCAGAGGAUUUCCAGCUAUCUGCUAAUCUUCCAACAAGUGCUAAUAUGAGAUAGGUUGUUGGGACCCUAGCUUGCAUCCAUUAUUAGAGUGAUUAAGCGGAAAAUGACGAUUCAGGUAUAUAUAGGCAAUACGAAAACAUAUACAAUUGGAUUCUCUUUCAAGAAGAGACUUACAAUUGGGCUACCUGUGCGGCGAUGAAUCAAAAAGUUUGAGUGGAUUCGAGUCCAAAAUAUUCCAGCAUAUAUAUAGUGCAUGCAUGCACGCAUGCAUCUUAAGUAUAGGACUUUCUACUUGCCGUAGAAGGCGCCGGUCGCCAUGGCGUCGUCGUUGGCUUGGCCGAGCGCCGCCUCGCUGAGGUACUUGUCGGCGAGCUGCACGCGCUUCACGUUCUCCUGCUCCUGGACCAGCAUGUGGCCGUACUCCAUGAGCUUCUCGAUGGUCAUCUUGGGCUGGUCGAACGUCGGCGGCCCCUCCCUGGAGUUGACGAGCCGCUUGGAGAUGUUCUCGACGCCGAUCUCGCCGACCCACUUGCGCACCUCGUCGUCGUACACCCGCGCCCGCAGCGCGCCGAAGAAGUCGAUGGACUGCCCCGGGAAGGUGUCCACCAGCCUCACCACGGCCUCGUCGGGGACGUUGUCGGUGCGGAAGAUGCCCUUGCACACGCCGAUGCGGUCCUCCCGGGUGGGCGCCCAGUAGAACUUCUCCAUGCGGCCGUCCCGGAUGAGGGGCGCGUACAGCGUCGAGAAGUCGUUGCCGGUGACGAUGAUGGGCACGCGUGGGUUCUCCUCCUUGUUGUACAUCCCCGGGAGCUGCACGUUGGUGGGCGCGUCCGCGAUGUUCAUCAGGGUGGCGUUCACCAUCUGGUUGUUCACCGUGUACUGCGUCGUCCCGCCCAUCCGCCCCGCGCCGGCGUCCAGGUCGUUGAUGAAGAGGCAGCACAUCUUGCCCUUCUUGAUAAUGUCGGCAGCCUCGCGGUACCUCUGCCGGAUCAGCUUGGCCGGCUCGCCGGCGUUGCCGCUCUCCAGCUCUCCGGCGCUCAUCAUGAUGGGGUUGAUGCCCAUCUUGGCGAACACCAGCUCGCACUGGAACGACUUGCCCUGUCCCUUGCCUCCCCAGAUACCCAGGAUGAGAGGGACCUUGAUGUUGGGGAGUGUCAUGAAGUUCUUGGCGAGGUGGACGAUGAGCUUGUCCAUGAACGCCGGGGCGAUGUACAGCCCGUCCAUGGUGUUGUCGAAGUCGUACUUGCGCAGGCCCUGGCUGAUGUACUCGUAGGAGCUCAGGAUGGCCUCGUGGGUGCCGUCGCCCAUGGGGGCCUGGAACAGGGAGUCCACGAUGCCUUUCCCCCUCGUGAUGUCCUGCUGGUCAUCGGAGAUGUCGUAAGCGAGACCCUUCCACCGAUCGGCAUCGGUCUGCUUGCCCUCGUCAAGUUCCUUUUUGGCCGCCAUGGCCCUGACCACCCUAUUGUUGAUCUUGUUGCCACCAUGGUAGUAGUUCAACGCACCGGCCUGCUUCUUCACCUUCUUCCCGAGGAAGGUGGUCGGGGUCGACGCCUGGAAGUAUAACAUUGCAGUCAGCCCCAACCAGAUUCAUGUACGUUGGCUCAUUUGGUUCAAUAGCAGUUGCCACGAUGCACGCUUGAGUUGAAUAUAUGCUUCAUUAAUUUGUAGAUAAGGGCCUCUCUGAUUCAGAGGAUUCCCAAAGAAAUUUUGGAGGAUUCUAAUCCUUAGGCUAUUUUUUUCAAUGUGGGUUGUUUGAUUUGUAGGAUUCCAAUUCACGUGAUUUUUUUUUCUUAUGAUUCAUCUGUACUAGUUUUUCGUAGGAAAAUAUUCAUCCACUCCAACCUAAUGUGAAAAAAUUUACGUUUUUCUUGUACACAAUCAAACAACCAUAUUAUUCAAAAGUUUCAAAGAUGGUGUGCCAUUCUGUUCCUAUGUUUUUCAUAUUCCAACGAUUUAGGAAUACUAUGAAUCAAAGAUGUCGUAAGUUUUCUAGGAAGUGUAUCAACCGUUGAUUUGGGCAUUUUCAGUCUUCAGUCACUAUUUAAUUGCAUGUCAUAUAAAAUUAAUUAGUCCAUCCAAAAGCUCGAGCCUAUGAAGAGAGGCAGAAGGUUGAAAGUAUAUUUCAACGCUCCAACUCAUACCAGGAGGGGUGGGCCCGUGUUGAGGGGAGUGGGGGCCCAAGAUCGCAUUCAAAAUAUGAAAUUUCAAUAUGAUUUGUAUAACUUCUAGGGGAAAAUGCUAAAACUCAAUGAAUUUAGACAAAAAUGUAUCACCACUCUUAUGUUUGGCCCGUAGUCAAAAUAGUUUCUCGGUCUGCCUCUGCAUACUGGGCCUUGAAAUUGAUGUCUCAUGGCUUGAAUAACAUAUUGGAUUACAUAACAACUUAACCAGCUCAGCCAAAAGUUCUUGCUGAUGGAGAAUAAUGAAAAAUAGUCAGUUUUUUAAAUUGUUGUAUCUAGAUUCAAUCUUUCUUCCCUCUCCCUCCCUCCUUCAUAUCGACCAUUCACUUUUCUUUUAAAGAUUAUUAGAUCUAGAUCUAGUUUUCUCCUCACUCGGUCCCCUUCUUGAAGGCAGGAGACAAAGAAGAACCGGUUGAGAAUCUAUAUGUCACUCAAAAUUCUCACAAACAGGCUAGACAACCGUGUGCCUUCACUCGAGACUUUUUUUAGGUCCUACCUUUGUUCUCCUCCUCCCCGCAAUACCAUCUAAAGAGUGUAACCACUAACAUCGCACAUUUCUCAACCCUCACCCCGCACUAUUUAUAGUUUGCGUCGUGAUUCAACAAACCACACAAUAGUUGCUCCUUAAGAAAAUCUCGCUACCAACUCGCAACUCCUAUUCUUUUUCAUCCACGCCACCAAGAAUCAGCAGCUAGUGCUGCCUACAUUAUCUUUGCCGUGCUAGCUCAACAUUUAUGGUCAUGCCCAAACCGAGCACAAAUGACCUCAUUUGAUAGCCUCGCCCCACGACGGCCGACCAUUCACCCCACCACCCUAGUCUCGAUAAGCCCCGGAAGGCAUGGGUGAGGAAAAGAUGACCUUGUCCGAGUCAACACAUAGAGGAGGCCCUGCUUGUCGCGUCCAAAUCUCAAAGCAAGAUCACACGGUCACAAAUUAUAUUGUAAUUGUACAAAAUGAAACAAUCCAAAGCUGAAAAUAUGUAGCAAGUCAGCCAUAUUUAGAGGAGGCGAUGAGUAUUGUUUUAGUAACUUAGCGAGUAGACGUACAUACGUUCUGUCCACUGGAUUAAGGAUCAGCUGCCAUGAGUGUAGGUCUAGUCAUACGUACCGGAGCUCCAACGGUGGACGAGAAAGCAGAAGCCAUCGUGUCGAUUGUUCUCUCCCCGCACCUGAUAACUUAAUUAGUUUCAGAUUAAUUUGAUGUGCGUACAGUGGUAUAUGCAAGCUCAGCUUAGGCGUACUACUAGUACACCUGCAGAUGCAGCUCGACUGAGAUGGUCAGUGAUCGACCGAGCUGAUGUGGAUAAAAGAGAGGGUGCGCUGGCUAGCAAGUACAGAUGCGAUGCCGAUCGGUGCAGCUUGGCUAUGGCGGCUUAUAUAGGUGCACGCACAGACGGCCAUGGUGCAAACGUCCAACACGACUGGAGUGACCUACAGCGUGCGCGACUAUUCUAGAGCGUCCCUGCGUAAUCACGCAGUCAGGCGAGAUAAGCUGUGAUUGUUAGGCUCUAAUUGGCUUUGCUUAGCGCGAUGGCUGCGAUAAGUAGUGAGGCGAGCCAAGUGGAGUGGAUGAUGAGAUGUUAAUUGUGUGGAUGGGGCUGGGCAUCGCCCAGGAGCCACACGCUGAGGAUUGGCUUCCUGGCUACCCUGGCUCAGUCCAUCAAAGGCGUCGACGUGGCUGCUUGUCAGCCUCCUGAUCGGCGCAUCCAACGGCCUAAAAGAAAUCUAAGCUGCCUGCCUUCGGUUCCUUGUGGGUUACGGGCCCGGAGCAUCUUUUUGCGGGUAUGCAUGCAUUAUUAAAUCAGCGUGCGCCGCCGUAGAAACAAUGAUGCCUUCAUCCUUCACCAUAAAAAUCACAUCUUGUUCGUUCCAUUUUCUUUUUGCAUUUUGCAUGAAACGUCUAGACUGGCUUUACACCACCACAAAGUACUAAUCUCAUUCCCUCCGGUAGGGCCCGGGUUACUGUCAGGAAACUUCAUGAACUAGCUUUUUUGUUUUGUAUCUACUAGGUUGCACAUCACCACAGGAUCUAAAAUUUCCAUCUUAUCUAAAAAGCCUCUAUGGUUAUUUUUCAUUUCCUUGCUUAUUUAUUUGGACACCUGUGAAAUUAAUUUUAUAGAUACAACUGAAUCGCAUUCUAUUUUUUGAGUGUACAACUUAAGGGCGUGUACAAUGAUGCUAUCUCAAGAGUCCCGUAUAAAAUAAAUGUUGAGGUAGACGAGAGAGAAAUCAUUCCAUGCUAUGAUUAGAUUUAUCUUAAUUCUUCUUUCUUAAUUGCGGAUGCUUGCGAGAGGGGAUAAUCAUAAGUGGGAGGCUUGCUUACGUAAGAACAGCACCGAAGCACCGAUCCACCCACAUAUUAAAUUAUCAAAGUAACAAACGUGAAUCAAACAAACAUGAUGAAAGUAACUAGAUGAUAAUUCUCAUGUGUCCUCGAGAACACUUUGCUUUUCAUAAGACAUCGUUCCGGCUUGUCCUUUGCUAUAAAAAGGAUUGGGUUACCUUGCUGCACAUUUCCUACUAUUGUUACUUGUUAUCCGUUAUGAAUUACCUUGCUACAAAAUAAUCUAUUACCGAUAGGUUCGACACUCUUACUUAUCGAAAUGACUGUGAUUGAUUCCUUAUACUAAUUGUGGGUCAUCAGGAACACUUUUAGAUUUGAUCGAUGUGAAUAGAUUCGUAAUUACGUAUUACGUGGUAAUUUGGAAUAUGACGGGAAACAAGCUCAUAAUGUAUUGAUGGUUUUUGGUUCGAAGCCCAAAAUGGUUCCCAGAUGUGUACGUGUAUGCCCACUAUCACACACAGUCCAAAUAUCGUCAUCGUGUCCGAUGGAUGGGCUGUCGUGCCUCCCAUGGGUGCCAAACGGUUGACUAGAACCGCUAUAUGCAGGUGGUUGCUCGCCGUUGAGGCAGCUGCGGCGUGCUCUGCUCAUGCCCCCCUCCCCUGAGCGCUCUGAUCGCCGUUGAGGCGGCUGAUACAUCUCCAACGUAUCUAUAAUUUUUGAUUGUUUCAUGCUAUCAUAGUAUCAAUCUUGGAUAUUUUAUAUAACUUUUUGAACUAUUUUGUAUCAUUUUUUAGGACUAACCUAUUAACCCAGUGCCUAGUGCCAGUUGUUGUUUUCUGCUUGUUUUUGGUUUUCCAGGAAAACGUACCAAAUGGAGUCCAAACGCUACAAAUUUUUUGAUAAUUUUUUUCUAGACAAGAGAGACUGAGGGAGUCCUGGAUUAGGGGGUGUUCGGGUAGCCGGACUGUACCUUCAGCCGGACUCCUGGACUAUGAAGAUACAAGAUUGAAGACUUCGUCUCGUGUUCGGAUGGGACUUUCCUUGGCGUGGAAGGCAAGCUUGGCGAUGCGGAUAUUCAAGAUCUCCUACCAUUGUAACCAACUCUAUGUAACCCUAACCCUAUCCGGUGUCUAUAUAAACCAGAGGGUUGUAGUCCGUAGGCAAUCAACUCCAUACACAACAAUCAUACCAUAGGCUAGCUUCUAGGGUUUAGCCUCCUUGAUCUCGUGGUAGAUCUACUCUUGUGCUACCCAUAUCAUCAAUAUUAAUCAAGCAGGAGUAGGGUAUUACCUCCAUCGAGAGGGCCCGAACCUGGGUAAAACAAAGUGUUCCCUGCUUCCUGUUACCAUCCGGUCUAGACGCACAGUUCGGGACCCCCUACCCGAGAUCCGCCGGUUUUGACACCGACAUUGGUGCUUUCAUUGAGAGUUCCUUUGUGCCGUCACAAUCAGGAAGGAUGCUUCCUCCCGUCUUUAAAGACGGCGCCGUUGCUAAGGGAGCCUUGGCUGUCGGCCAAACCCUCUGACUAGGUGGUUUUCUCAUGACCGCCUGUUCGGCUGUUGCGCCGACGAUGACCUCUCGGGUCAUCAAAAGCAGCCCACACGUCAGCUCGGAGCUCGUCGAGCAAGUAGAUCCAAUGGAGCUCUCUUCCGUAAACGAGCUCUUGGAUCGCAUCGCCGCCCUGGGGGUCGCUACGGAUUACGACCAGGUUGGGCUUAAACCCGAUCUAAGAGAAACUAACUCUCCCCAAGUCACCCACCACGUUGCCGUGGUAGAGGCGCAGUGUGGCGACCCUUCAUCUAUUUUGAGGACUAGCUACGUCCGAAUUCCCGACUCCUCCAAGCCGGAUACCGGCGAAGAGGAGGAUGUAACUCAAGACCUGAGCUUAGGAUCAGGCAACGGGCUAGAUUCGUUGGACAACGUCUAAGAACCCGAACUUCAGAGUUCGGAAACUCUUCGGCCUCCGAAUCUUGGAUUGGGUGAGGCUUCAGAUUCAACGACACCCGCCCACCCAAACGUAAGCGCUCUCUCCCAAAUCAGGCAGAGGCCCGAGGAAACAGUACAUCAUUACUGGGCCAGAUUCCUCCUGGUUAUGAACAGGAUAAAAGAUUGCCGCAAGGGAGACGCAAUCUCUAUUUUUUGCAGUAAUUGCACGGAUGAGGGAAUACUUAACGCCGUAAGUCAUCGUGAUAUUACACGCUUCGCUGACUUGGCGUCCAUAGUACAAAAAUACUGUGCGAUGGAAAGCGCCUGGAAAACCGAAAUAAAAUUUUGGGACAAUCCGGCCUUGAAUAGUAAUCCCGUCCGAACUAAGAGGGUGCAUCAUCAUACGACACCCGGGAUAAACACCAAAAAGCCAAAACCCUCUACAGGGCGUGGAACCGUACUGGAAAGGUGGCUUGAUGGACCCUGUAGAAUUCACAGUACAGAGGACGCCACACCAACUCACAGCCUUAGAGCAUGUUGGAUACUCCGGCAGGUGGCCAAAAUCGGCGAGAACCUCUUAAUCCUGGAGGCCGCAGAAAGGCAGCCCGAGGACACUAGUACCGUUCUCACAAUCUUCGAGACUUUCGCAUCAAACAAUAUGCGAAAAAGAACACUCCGCAGCCUCGCCGAAGUCUAUCAAGUUGCAACAAUAAAUCCAUGGAGCGACACUGCCAUUACCUUCAACGUAAGUGAUGAACCUAGAUUCCGAACAGCCCGAGCACCAGCCGCAUUGGUCCUCAGUCCCAUAGUUGACGACUUUUGCCUCACCAAGGUGCUCAUGGAUGGAGGCAGCGGACUGAACCUCAUUUAUGAGGAAACCCUUCAAAAAAAUGGAAAUAGACUGGAACCGCAUCGAGCGAAGCAGCACAACCUUUAGAGGAAUAAUCCCCAGUCGGGAAGCACGCUGCACAGGAAAAAUCACACUAGAUGUGGUGUUCGGCAUGCCGGAUAAUUACAGGUCCGAAGAAGUCACGUUUCAGGUGGCCCCGUUUAAGAGCGGACAUCACGCUUUACUAGGUCGGGAAGCAUUCACAAUCUUCCAAGCAAUACCCCAUUACGGGUACAUGAAGCUUAAGAUGCCCGGGCCGAAUGGAAUUAUCACUCUAGCCAGUGAUCCGGACAUAGCACUCCGCGCCGAAAACAAGACGGCCGCAUUAGCCCUUGAGGCACUAUCCGAAGCCUUAGCGGCCGAGGAACUGACUGCGCUGCGCUCCAUGGUUAACAGGGAUGAUGUGAUACUCGACAAGAGAUCCAAAUCCACAUCCUUCAAGCCAGCUGACGAAAUAGUCAAAUUCCAGGUCCAUCCAACGGACCCCAAUAAAACAGCUUCCAUCGGGGCACGACUGAACCUUGAUGUAGACGCUGCACUGCGAGAGUUCCUACGAGAGAACUGGGACAUUUUUGCCCGGCACCCUUCAGACAUGCCAGGAAUCCCACGCAGGCUGGCGGAACACAGCUUAAAUAUCCUAAAAGGAUUCAAACCUGUCAAACAAGCCCUUCGGCGUUUUUCCGAACCCAAGAGACAGGCUAUGGGAGAGGAGCUAGCCAAGCUAUUGGAGGCCGGAUUCAUUAGAGACAUAAAACAUCCGGACUGGCUAGCAAACCUGGUGAUGGUACCAAAGAAGGACAAAUCCUGGCGCCUGUGUGUCGAUUUUAAAGACCUUAACACGGCUUGCCCAAAGGAUCCCUUCCCCCUCCCCCGUAUCGAUCAAAUUAUCGAUGCCACCGCAGGACACGGUUCGUUGUGUUUUCUUGACGCAUACUCCGGUUACCAUCAAAUUAAGAUGGCAGAAUCAGACCAAGCUGCAACAGCAUUCAUCACACCAUACGGCCCAUUCUGCUUCAACACAAUGCCCUUCGGGCUGAAAAACGCCGGCGCAACAUAUCAGCGCAUGAUCCAGACAUGUCUGGCAAACCAGAUCGCCAAAACAGUGGAGGCGUAUGUGGAUGAUGUGGUCGUCAAAUCAAGACAUGUCGAAUCCCUAUUAAACGACUUGAGGCUUACAUUCGAUAACCUCCGACAAUAUGACAUCAAGCUCAAUCCAGAAAAAUGCGUCUUCGGCGUUCCAGCCGGAAAGCUCUUGGGCUUCAUUGUAUCCGGUAGAGGAAUUGAAGCAAACCCAGCCAAGAUCCGAGCUUUGUCACAAUUGGAUGUCCCAAAGGACCUCAAACAAAUACAAAAAUUAACCAGAUGCGUGGCGGCUUUAAGCCGCUUCAUCUCCCGCUUGGGAGAAAAGGCACUACCCCUCUAUCGCCUCCUUCGGCGCACCGAACACUUCGAGUGGACGGAGGCCGCCAUGGCCGGACUUGAUGAAAUAAAAGCCAUAUUGGCAACAAACCCAGUCCUGGCCGCGCCGAACACCAGCGAACCAAUGUUAUUAUACAUUGCAGCAACACAUCAAGUUGUCAGCGCAGUGCUCGUUGUCGAGCGGGAAAUAGAUGCACAUGAAUUCCCCCUUCAAAGGCCGGUCUACUACGUAUCCAUUGUCCUCACUCCAUGCAAAUCACGGUACCCGCAUUAUCAAAAGAUUGCAUACGCGGUAUUCAUGGCAUCCCAAAAGCUACGACACUACUUUCAAGAGUGUUCCAUAAUAGUAGCCUCAGAAGUACCACUCAAUGAUAUUAUUAACAACCGCGACGCAACGGGCCGGAUUGCAAAAUGGGCCAUCGAGCUUCUCCCGUUUGAUAUAACCUAUAAGCCACGGCGAGCUAUUAAAUCUCAAGCUUUGGCCGACUUCGUCGCAGAAUGGACGGAGGUCGAGCUCCCUAAAGAGCACGGCACAUAUUCAAACUGGAUUAUGCAUUUCGACGACUCCAAAAUGUUGACCGGACUAGGGGCUGGCAUCGUCCUGAUGUCCCCCACAGGAGACACAGUCCAAUAUGUGCUCUAGAUUAUGUACACGGAUUCCAACAAUGCAGCCGAAUAUGAGGCCCUCCUACAUGGUCUCCGGAUAGCAGUAUCCAUGGGUAUCCAGCGCCUAGAGGUACGCGGGGAUUCAAACCUCACGAUAUCCCAAAUAAAUGGAGACUUCGACACCAAGGACCCAAAAAUGGCAGCUUACCGCAACGCCGUCCUAAAAAUGUCAGCUCGAUUCGAAGGGCUGGAGUUUCACCAUAUAGCCCGAGAAAACAAUCAAGCAGCGGACGUCCUGGCACGCAUUGGAGCAAAACGCGAUGCAGUCCCCCCCAACAUAUUUUUGGAAAGAUUGUUCAGGCCAUCCGUAGCAUGGGAGGGUGAACCCGCAAAUAACAGCCCGGACCCAGCCGCACCACUCGACGCCGAACAAUCUGACACAAUUGGAGGCUCUGCCAACAAAAUUACACCUUCAGCCCACGUAAUAAUGGCGGUUAUCGCCCCGUGGACAGAACCAUUCCUAGCCUACCUUACUAGACAGGAACUCCCGGAGGACCAAAACGAGGCCCGCUGCAUAGUGCGGCGAUCUAAAGCCUAUAGAGUCCAUGAGGGAGAGCUUUAUAAGAAAAGCACUACCGGAGUCCUUCAAAGGUGCAUCUCCGAAGAGGAAGGGCGGAACCUUCUGGCUGAAAUUCAUGCCGAAUUCGGUGGUCACCACGCCGCUGCUCGGUCCCUUGUUAGCAAGGCUUUCCGUACAGGCUUUUAUUGGCCGACGGCCCGGGCAGACGCUCAGGACCUAGUCCAACGAUGCGCUAGUUGCCAACUUUUUGCCAACCAAAGCCAUAUGCCACCCACCGCACUCCAAACUAUACCCAUCACCUGGCCUUUUGCGGUCUGGGGGCUUGACAUGGUCGGACCCCUUAAAGGUGGGACCGAUAAAAAAAAUACUUACUGGUCAUGGUGGAUAAAUUCACCAAAUGGAUAGAAGCCAAACCUGUUAAAACGGCCGAAUCCGGACCUGUGAUAGACUUCUUAUCUGGGGUUGUACACCGUUAUGGCGCCCCCACAGCAUCAUAACUGAUAACGGUACAAACUUCACCGCCGACGAGGUAAAACUCUGGUGCAAAAACAUGGGCAUCAAGCUCGAUUAUGCUUCCGUCUAUCACCCACAAACCAACGGCCAGGUCGAAUGUGCAAAUGGUCUUAUCAUGAGCGGCAUUAAACCCAGACUGGUGCGGUCCCUCAAGGAAUCUAACACGCACUGGGUAGAGGAGCUCGAUUCCGUGCUAUGGGGGCUGCGGACCACGCCAAAUCGCACCACCGGAUACACACCAUUUUUUAUGGUGUACGGUGCAGAGGCAGUUCUGCCCUGCGACAUAAUUCAUGACUCACCUAGAGUGCGCAUGUAUGAAGAAAGAGAAGCCGGGCUCGAUCGGCAGGAACAACUUGGACGCCCUGGAGGAGGAGCGUGACGUGGCAAAAGCCCGUUCCGCAUUUUAUCAACAGCAGGCCCGAAGAUAUCAAAGUAGAGAAGUAUGGGCCAAAAAUUACAAUGUUGGCAAACUAGUUCUACGCCUGCCGGAUAAGAAAAAGGACAAACUCAAGCCCAAGUGGGAAGGUCCAUUCAUAAUCGACCAAGUCCUGACUGGCGGGGCGUACCGCCUGCGAGAUGCGUCGGAUAACCGACUCGAGCCGAACCCGUGGAACGCCACCCGUCUCCGAAGAUUCUAUGCCUAGCGCCGGACUCUGUGUUCGUCUCCUUCCUCUGCCCAUUUUUUGCAUUUUUCUGUCUUACAUUUCUCUCCUUCCCCUCUUUUCUUUUAUAGCCCUUAAAGGCUCAUCUAGUGACGCGCCACUCACGCUCAUUAAACCUGGGGGCUUCUUUAAUAGAAGCUUAUUUAUACGGGCUUCACGCCCAACACAUGCGUCAAACUUCCGCAUGUACCUUUUUCUUCACCAUUAUAUGCUUCGAUAUGACUUAAGUUUUGGCCAAGCUGGGUUGCCUGGCUCCUGUGCUUACCCCUACAUUCCCGAUUGUUCGGCUAGGCGGUAAAGGGAGCACCUCUGCGAUUGUUACUGCCGGGUCAGCCGGAUGUGUACCUCAGACUGGGUGAAGCCGAAAGCUAGCGUUCUUAAGGGAAUUUUCGGUCGGUGAGAUAAAAGAUGAUCUUUUUACUCAUUUUAUGCGCCCCCAGAUGCUUUUUCUGCAUCUUUUUACGCAGUCCGGACAUGCACUUUAGGGCAUGCCUCCCAGCGAAAGGAACCCCUAACGGAACUAUUCUCUCUGGAAGAUGUUUCUUACUAACCAUGUAAUAUAACAUAACUAGUUGGGCACUUGUCUGAUAAAGCACUAAUGACCCCUACGCCUGGUCUCCACGCAUACCACGGUUCUUAUAUAACCGCUAUGGUAUUCGGACACACUCCGGAUCGUCAGGUCCCGAGGUUGAAGCGAAAAGGUCGGCAACGACAAACGAUCUACAAUCCGGCUAGAAGGCAUUACACAUGUCAAUUCAAAAUUACAUAGUCAUUCUGACUGAUUGUAUUCCUCUUCUAUACCAUCUAACAGGCUGUCUAAUUUACAGUCCUGCUGGGAAUACUUCGCGGCUAACUCUACUUGGCCGUAUACUAAGCUUACAGGGAUCUCCUUCCCGUCAGGCCCCACUGGUCCGACCACGGCCAUGUGGUUUGGGUCAGACUUCGUAAAACGGGUCUUCACCAUGGCCCGGACCUCCCUAGCGCCUUGUCGGCAGGCUGAUAUCUUCCACAACCGGAAGCGCCGCCGAGCUCCCUUCAGCUUCUCCGCAAGCUCUCCAGGGCCCUCGGGCAUGGAGUGGGCAGGCCAUAAGGCUUGGGCAACACCUCGCAUCGCCUGCCGAAUUCGCUCGUGCAGUUGCAUGAGUUCGGGAAGAAGGUCACCCGUAGAACCGGGCAUCUCCUCUGCAGGACGACCUGUGAGCAUACCUACAGACAUUACUCUGUUAGUCGACUUCCUCGCCGAACUCUUUUUUCAAAGUUCGUUCAAGCACUUACUAAAAAUGCCGCGUCGAAGCCGCUGAUUCUCCUUCGUGGAGUCCGACAGCUGGCCACGAACAUCUUUAAGUUCGACGUCCAGCUUGGUAUUGGCAUCCUGAAGAUCAUUCUUCUCUCGCCUCACCUUUGUCAACAUACUCUCACUGGACUUUAGCCGGCGUAAGAGUUGUUGCUUGUCCGGAUCUAAUCCGGCGCCAUCUGCAAUAUGAUUUGUCAGAUUUGCACCCACACCACACAGUACUAAUCUUUCAAAGUGUAUCUUACCUGAGGGGGUCUCUUUGGGCUCCCCUGCUGCGGCUAGUGCGGCCUCUAGUUGGGCCUUACACUUUUCCAGCUCCUGGGACAGUACGGUAUUCUUCUCUGUAAGAAGCUGCAUAUUAAAUGAUCCUUAAAUCAGUUGCUCUAACUGUUUCAUGUCUCGGGGGCUACUGGUAUAUAUAUAUUUGACCAAAAUUUUCUUACUCGUAUGUCUUUUACAUACUGCUCCGUGGCUCUGGCUAAACCAUUUUGAGCGGCAUGGAGGUACGAAUCUCCUGAAUUAAAGGCAUCUAAAGCCUCUUGGGAGAAACAAGCGUCACGUAGAACUGUCCGGCGACGCCUGUUGUUCAUGGCACUCUCCACUUCAGAAUUUGUGGUAGAUAGCCUGUCCGCAACCUCUGUCGGAGGAGCGUCCGGUGCGCGCCUUGUGCUCGCCUCCGCUUCCUGGCCAGACGUUGGAGCUUGGCUAGUGGAGGCGCGAUUGGCAACCUCUCCGGAUGUAGUCCGGCAAGGCCUCUUCGUUCUGAAGAUAGCACGAAUGUUAAUAUGCCCUGACAAAAUAACACCAGGGAAACAGAGGGUGCGCUAUACCUUUGCGCCGGCAUCUCAGUCCGGACUACAUUCCUUUUUUCCCCACGGGGCCCUGCGGCCCCUCGUUGACUAGCCGCCGCAGGUUCGGCCUCCUGCCUCAGAAAUCUCCCCUGCAAAACACGGUUGUCAUCAGAAACACCGGAAUACGUGAGAGUGGAAUCUCUCUCAAGGGAAUGAGACUUCGGUUUCUGUCACCUGGGAGGCCGGGAUUAACCCUGGGUAAUCAGCCGUAAUGGCUACCAAGGUGUUGUCCUUGCUUAGCUGAUGGAACACCCCGUCGAUAAGCUCCACCGAUAUGUCCGGAUCCUCUUCGGAGUCCGGAUCGAGGGACCGUUCUGGGUCCUCGGGUUGUGGAGGGCGGCUGUUUAUAUCCUUUACCACCUGUCGCAGUUCUUGCACUGAAGUCGUUAGACUACAUAUCUAACCGUGUGAGUACAAAACAAACGGGCAAGCACAGUUGUUCACUUACCCAACUUGGAGGAUCGUACAUAGUAAAUCCGGCCUGCGGGUUGACACGGAGGAAUUCCUCCUUUUCUCCAUUGUACAAAGAGGAUAAGAUCUUUACUAGGGCGGCAGCUGAAGCCGGCCCCUUACGACCGUAACGGGUGGCGUCAUCCUCCCCGUUGAAAUCCCACAUGGGGUGGCCUCUAUAUUGAAGUGGCUGCACCCCCCGCAUAAUGCAUGCGGCCAUUACUCCAAUCAUGGUUAGUCCGGAAUGAGCCAACAGUCUUAUCCGGCCCAUCAGGUAAAGGACGUCUCUGUCGCUUUCUCUCUGAGAGCUCCGUGGACGCCAACUCAAGCGUUUCUUCAAUGGAGCACUGUUGAACUCAGGGAGACCGACCCGGAUAGGGUCCGGUAGCGGGACGUCAUCUAUAUAAAACCAUUCCGAAGGCCAGUCCUCAGACGCCUUCUUCGGGGUUCCGGAUAGGUAUCCGGUCCCGGCGAUGCGCCAUACUUCAGCUCCGCCCACUUGGUAUAUAGACCCCUCUUUAGAACAGGGCACCAGGCAGAAUAAUCUCUUCCACAGCGUGAAAUGAGCCUCAACGCCUAGAAAUAGCUCGCAAAGGGCGACGAAACCCGCAAUAUGCAAUACGAAGGCGGGCGUGAGGUUGUGCAGCUGGAGGCCGUAGAACUCCAGAAGCCCGCGGAGAAAUGGGUGAAUUGGAAAUCCCAGUCCCCUUAUUAGAUAGGGGACGAGGCACAACCGCUCUCCUUUAGAAGGAUUGGGGGUGCUCUCCGCUUGUUUUCCGCCAUUAUAGGUGGCGAGACCGGCUCGGACCGGGACCAUGUAUGCCUGAGGGAGAAAUCCCUUGGCCUGAAGUGAUGCUAACUCGCUAUGCGGGAUGGUGCAACUCUCCCAGUCCCCGGGUUUGGGACCGGAGGGGCGAGGGGAGGAGCUACGAUGGCUGGUCAUGUUGGAAUGGACCUUUGCUGGAAGCGCUCUAAUGAUAACUCGCGGAAAGGAGAAGAUGUGGUUUUUGGACCUAAAUCCCCAUCCCGUUAAAUAGGCGACUCGUUUAUAUGGCUAGGGGUGUGGAUGUAAAAACACCCCAGCUUUUCGCAUUCAUUUGAACACGUGGAAGACGACCAUUAUUGGGCGUGGAAGCCGAGGAGCACUACAUUACAAAAAUCGGACAUUAUUCCUACAGGUACACAAGAUUUGGAGAGGAACCCGCCUUGCAAUGCCGAACAAUCUGCGCGCUGGACUCAUCGUCAUUGAAGCCUGGUUCGGGGGCUACUGAGGGAGUCCUGGAUUAGGGGGUGUUCAGGUAGCCGGACUGUACCUUCAGCCGGACUCCUGGACUAUGAAGAUACAAGAUUGAAGACUUCGUCCCGUGUCCGGAUGGGACUUUCCUUGGCGUGGAAGGCAAGCUUGGCGAUGGGGAUAUUCAAGAUCUCCUACCAUUGUAAUCGACUCUAUGUAACCCUAACCCUAUCCGGUGUCUAUAUAAACCGGAGGGUUGUAGUCCAUAGGCAAUCAACUCCAUACACAACAAUCAUACCAUAGGCUAGCUUCUAGGGUUUAGCCUCCUUGAUCUCGUGGUAGAUCUACUCUUGUACUACCCAUAUCAUCAAUAUUAAUCAAGAAGGAGUAGGGUAUUACCUCCAUCGAGAGGGCCCGAACCUGGGUAAAACAAAGUGUUCCCUGCUUCCUGUUACCAUCCGGCCUAGACGCACAGUUCGGGACCCCCUACCCGAGAUCCGCCGGUUUUGACACCGACAGAGACCAUAGAAGCUUCGGCAGGAGACCUGAUGGCGAGCAAGGAGACGACAAGGCAAUAGGGCGCGCCCUGAGGGGCCGUGUUUCCUUGUGGGCCCCUCGUGGCUCCGUCCGGCCUAAUUCCAACUCUAUAAAUUCUCUAAAAUCGGGAAACCAAUAGAGAGCCACCCAAAACAUUAUUUUUCCGCCGCCCGCAAGUUUCUGUUCUUCCGCGAUCCCAUAUGGAGGCCUUCUCCGGUACUCUGCUGGAGGGGGAACCAAUCACAGAUGGCUUCUACAUCAUCUUUGCUGCCUUUUGAUGAUGCGUGAGUAGUUCACUACAAACCUACGGGUCCAUAGCUAGCAGCUAGAUGGCGUCUUCUCCCUCUUUGAUCUUCAAUAUAACAAUGUUCUCCUCGAUGUUCUUGGAAUUCUAUCCGAUGUAAUCUUCUUUUGCGAUGUGUUUGUUGGUAUCCGAUUAAUUGUGGGUUUAUGAUCCGAAUAUUUAUUAUAAGUAAUUGAGUCUUUUCUGAACUUUAUUAUGCAUGAUUGUUAUAGCUUUGUAUUUCUCUCUGAUCUAUCCGUUUGGUUUGGCCUACUAGACUGAUUUAUCUUCGGUGGAAGAGAUGCUUUGUAAUGGGUUCAAUCUUGCGGUGCUCUAUAUCCCAGUGAUAGAAGGGGAUAAAAUAGGUAUUUAUAUUGUUGCCAUUAAGGGUAAAACGAGGGGGUUUAUUCAUAUUGAUUGGGUUUACUUUGUCUACAUCAUGUCAUCUUGCUUAAGGUGUUACUCCGUUUUCAUGAACUUAAUACCAUAGAUGCAUGCUAGAUCGCGGUCGAUUGGUGGAGUAAUAGUAGUAGAUGCAAGCAGGAGUCGGUCUACUUGUCUCAGACAUGAUGCCUAUAUACAUAAUCAUUGCCUUGAAUAUUGCCAUAACUAUGCGCUUUUCUAUCAAUUGCCCAACAGUAACUUGUUCACCCACGGUAUGCUAUGUGUUCGAGAGAAGCCUUUAGUGAAAACUAUGGCCCCGGGUAUACUUUUAUCAUACAUAUAAAAAACCAAAAUAUCCUUCCUGCAUUUUUGAUCUUUUAUUUUGUUUUGCAAUUUAUCUAUCUACUUAUACAAGAUUUGAUCCUUGCAAGUAAUGAGUUCAAGGGGAUUGACAACCCUCUUGCUCGCAUUGGGUACAAGUAUUUGCUUUUGUAUGUGCAGGUGUUGUUCACGAGGCUUUGCGUGAUUCUCCUACUGGAUUGAUACCUUGGUUCUCAUUGAGGAAAAUACUUAUCUCUACUGUGUUGCAUCUCCUCUCCUGUUGGGGGAAAAAUCCCAACGCAGCUCACAAGUCGCAGGAAGAAUUUCUAUCGCCGUUGCCGGGGAGACAUCACACCAAAACAUAUCAAGUACCUUCGCACAAACUAUCAUCUACUUGCUCUACUUUUUAUUUGCCUUUUUUUGCUUUUUCCUCUCGUUAAUCUCCCCACUUUUCAUAAAAAAGACAAAUAUUUUUGUUUGCUCGUUUGCUUGCUUUGUCGUUAUGUCGCAAUAAACCACUAAGUAGUGUGAUUUUUCAAAUACUAAUAAUAAUGAUUUUAUUAGUACUCCAAUUGCUCCUCCCUCCACUAGUGCGGAGUCAUCUAAUAUUAAUGCUGCUUUGCUAAAUCUUGUUAUGAAAGAAGAAUUUUCUGGUAGUCCUAAUGAAGAUGAUGCAUCCCAUCUUAAUAUACUCACUGAAUUAUGCAAUAUGCAAAAUAAAAAGAUGCGUAUAAUGAUAUUUUCAAGUUGAAAUUAUUUAUGUUUCACUACGAGGCAUUGCUAAAACUUGAUUUUCAUCCUUGCUUCGAAAUAGUAUUGAUUCUUGGGAUAAGUGUAAGGAUGCUUUUAUUGAUAAGCAUUUUCCUUCCGCCAAAAUUAUUUCUCUUAGAAAUCAAAUUUUGAAUUUUAAGCAACUUGAGAAUGAACAUGUUGCACAAUCUUGGGAGAGAACGAAAUUAAUGAUAAGAAAUUGUCCCACUCAUGGUUUAAGUUUGUGGAUGAUUAUACAAAAUUUCUAGGCGGGACUAAACUUUGUUUCUAGAAAUCUUAUAGACUCUGCUGCAAGUGGUACCUUUAUGGAAAUCACAUUGGGAGAAGCUACAAACUCCUUGAUAAUAUAUUGGCGAAUUACUCUCAUUGGGCACACGAAAGAGCUCCGACUGGUUAGAAGGUAAAUUUUGUUGUAGAAAUUACUACUUUGAGUGAUAAAAUGGAUGCUCUUAUGAAAAUGGUUGCUAAUAAAAAUGCUCAUGUUGAUCCUAAUGAUGUGCCAUUGUCUACUUUGAUUGAGCAAAAUAAUGAUGUCAUUUAUGUGAAUUUUGUCUCUAGAAAUAAUUUCAAUAACAGUGCUUAUAUAGGUAAUUUUAAUCCUAGACCGUAUCCCCGAAGUUCCUCUAAUAAUUAUGGUAAUUCCUAUGGAAAUUCUUGUAAUAAUAAUAAUAAUAAUAAUAAUAAUAAUAAUAAUAAUAAUAAUAAUAAUAAUAAUAACAAUAAUAAUAAUAAUAAUAAUAAUAGGAUACCUACUGAUCUUGAGAGCACUAUUAAAGAGUUCAUUAAUUCUCAAAAGAUUUUCAAUGCCAUGGUAGAAGAAAAAUUGAAUAAAGUAGAUGUAUGACUAGGAACAUAGAUAUAAUUGCUCUUGAUGUGGAAACUCUUAAAUCUAAAAUCUUACCACCCAAGCAUGAUAUUAAUGAGUCCAUUGAAGCUACCUAUCUCUCCAUUAAUGAAAAUAAAGAAAGAACCCCUAGGUUGAGAGCUAAGCGAGAAUUCUAGAAAAGGCUAUUUCACCCGAUUUUUACCGUAAUCAUGAUGAAGAUAUUAAAAUGAUCGGUGUCUCACCCAUUGAAUCUUUGUUUAGGAAUAUAAAACUUGAUGAAAAGGGACUGGAUAUGAGUUAACUUUAGCUAGAAGGCGUCCUAAUUGUUCGGAGGGUGAUGAUCUUAAUGAUAAACAUAGUAAAAGUGGGUUUGGAGAGGUCAAGACUUUAACUAGUAAUGUGCCCACUACUUUGGAUUACAAGGACUUUAAUUAUGAUAAUUGUUCUUUAAUUGAGUGAAUUUUCUUGUUGAAAUCCAUGAUAAAUUCACCCAAUGCUUAUGAACAAAAUAAAGCUUUUACUAAACAUAUCGUAGAAGCUAUGAUGAAAGCUCAUGAAGAAAAGCUAGGGUUGGAGGUUUCAAUACCUAGGAAAUUGCAUGAUAAAUGGGAACCUACUAAUAAAGUAAAUAUUAAAUAUUAUGAAUGUGAUGCUCUAUGUGAUUUAGGUGCUAGCAUUUCCACUAUACCACAAUCUUUAUGUGAUCUGUUAGUCCUUGUUGAUAUGGAUGAAUGUCCCUUAAUUUGCACUUAGCGGAUCCAACUAUUAAGAAACCAUUGGGUAGAACAAAUGAUGUGCUUCUUAUUGCUAAUAGAAAUUAUGUGCUCGUGGAUUUCAUUGUGCUUGAUAUUGAAUGUCAUCUGUCUUGUCCUAUAAUACUUGGUAGGCCUUUCCUACGAACCAUAGGUGUUAUUACUCAUAUGAAAGAAGGAAACAUAAGGUUCCAAUUUCCAUUAAAUAAAGGAAUGGAACACUUCCUGUCGAAUUUCGGGUUCUGCAGACCCUUGAAAGGUUCGAACUCUGGGGUGCGUGCGAAGAACUCGUCCUCCCCAGUCUGCCUGCUCACUAAUCCCAUGGCCUAGCUCGACGAACCGAAUGGACAAGGGACAAAACAGUUUACCCAGCUUCGGGCCACCUUGCGGUGUAAAACCCUACUCCUGCUUUUUGGUGGAUUGGCCUCGAGGGGCUGAGGAUGAACUAAUAUAGUGGAGAACAGCCUCAGGAGGAGGGGUAUUCUUGUGCUCGAUGAGCUGGUGGGUGAGAGGAUGAUCUGAAUGAUCCCCCUUCUAUGGUGGUGGCUAGGUCCUAUUUAUAGUUGCUUUGGUCCUCUUCCCAAAUGAAGGCGGGAAGGGAUCCCACAAUGGCCAAAUUUGAAGGGAGACAACUAGUACAUGCUAUCCUAACAAAAGUAGUCUUCGCGUGCCAAAAGCUUCUGGUCAUGACGCCGUGGUGGGCUCGACGAUGACCUCUGUUCUGUUGUCCUGGCGGUCUUGGUCUUGUUGCACCGGAAUGAAAACCUUUGCUUGAUUCCUCGGGACUCCGCGCAUGCGCUUGCCUCCUUAGCACGAAAGAGAAAACUGAUACACUGCGCCUGCUGGCGCCUUCCUGGCCUUGGUCAUCAUGGCUCACGUCAUCCGAACCUCGCGAGGUGCACCUUGCAUAGAUAUCUCCGCUCCUCGGGAGCCAGCCUGGGGAGGCCGCCCCACAUGGAGGUCUUGGUUUCGUUCGCUUCGCGAGGCUUGGGCCCUUGCGAGGGUCUUGAGCUGUUGAUAUUGAAGCUGGUCCGUACCAGGCCGUUGAUGGAUCCACGCCAUGGGCCGCAGGCAGGCAAGUCUGGGUACCCCCGUUCCCAGAACACCGACAAUAGCCCCGGGCCCAAGGUGCGCUUGAACUUGGCUUCGAGGUGAGGCCAAAGGGCAAGUGCGGAGCGCCGCGGGCCCUAACCGCCUAUGGCAUUGGUUGACGCGUGGUGUUUGAUGGGACGUGGGCACCUCCGCUUCCCCAUGCUGUGAUGUCGCUUGAAGCUACAUCGGUAUUUCCCCAAAGAGGAAGGGAUGAUGCAGCACAACGGCGGUAGGUAUUUCCCUCAGAUAUGAAACCAAGGUUAUUGAACCAGUAGGAGAACCAAGCAACACAAUGUAAACAACCCCUGCACACAGAUAACAAAUCCUCACAACCCGACGUGUUAAAGGGGUUGUGAAUCCCUUUCGGGUAACGGUGCCAGAAAUUGGUGCUUGACGGGAAAAAGUUGUAAUAGAUUGAAUAACUAGAUUGCAAAUAAAAUAAAGUGUUGCAAAGUAUUUUUGGGUUUUUGGAUUAAUAGAUCUAAGAAUAAAAGAAAAUAAAAGUAGACCGCAAAUGCAAAUAAUAUGAGAAAAAGACACGGGGGCGUAGGUUUUACUAGUGGCUUCUCUCGAGAAAAAUAGCAAACUGUGGGUGAACAAAUUACUGUUGGGCAAUUAAUAGAACUUCAAAUACUCAUGACGCUAUCCAAGAAAUGAUCAUUACAUAGGCAUCACAUCCAAUAUUAGUAGACCGACUCCUGCCUGCAUCUACUACUAUUACUCGACACAUCGACCGCUAUCCAGCAUGCAUCUAGUGUAUUAAGUUCAUGGAGAAAUGGAGUAAUGCAAUAAGAACGAUGACAUGAUGUAGACAAGAUCUAUCUAUGUAGAGAUAGACCCCAUCAUUUUAUCCUUAGUAGCAACGAUACAUACGUGUCGGUUCCCCUUCUGUCACUGGGAUCAAGCACUGUAAGAUUGAACCCACUACAAAGCACCUCUUCCCAUUGCAAGAUAAAUAGAUUAAGUUGGCCAAAAAAAAACCAAAUAUCGGAGAAGAAAUACGAGGCUAUAAGCAAUCAUGCAUAAAAUAUAUCAAAGAAACUCAAAUACUUUCAUGGAUAUAAAAAGAUAGAUCUGAUCAUAAACUGAAAGUUCAUCGAUCCCAACAAACACACCGCAAAAGAGUUACAUCAUAUGGAUCUCCAAGAGACCAUUGUAUUGAGAACCAAGAGAGAGAGAGAGAUGAAGCCAUCUAGAUACUAACUACGGACCCAAAGGUCUACAAAGAACUAGUCAUGCAUCAUCAGAGAGGCACCAAUGGAGGUGGUGAACCCCAUCCGAGAUGUUGUCUAGAUUGGAUCUGGCGGUUCUGGACUCUACGGCGACUAGAUGAAUAUUUCGUUGAAUCCCCUAGGGUUUUGGGAAUAUUUGGGUAUUUAUAGAGCAAAGAGGCAGUCCGGGGGGCACCCGAGGUGGGCACAACCCACCAGGGCGUGCUUGGGCCUCCCGACGCGCCCUGGUGGGUUGUGCCCCCUCGGGGCACCCCCAAGCGCAGCCAGGGCCCGUUGUGUUUCUUUUGGCCCAUAAAAAAUUCUCCGUAGAGUUUCAUGGCAUUUGGACUCCGUUUGAUAUUGAUUUUCUGCGACUAAAAAACAUGGGGAAAACAGUAACUGGCACUUGGCACUAUGUCAAUAGGUUAGUACCAAAAAAUGAUAUAAAAUGAUUAUAAAACAUCCAAGAUUGAUAAUAUAACAACAUUGAACAAUGAAAAAUUAUAUAUACGUUGGAGACGUAUCAGUAUCCCCAAGCUUAACUCCUACUCGUCCUUGAGUAGGGAAGUGAUAAAAACAAAUUUUUUGAUGUGGAAUGAUGUCUAACAUGUCAUAUCAUAUUCUUUUCUUUAUAGCAUGGACAUUUGGACUUUUAUAUUGUUCAAAGCAAUAGUCUAGUUUUGACAUGAUAAUUUAAAUACUCAAGCAUAUCAACAAGCAAACAUAUCUUUCAAAAUAUUGACGCUAAAAUAAGCUAUCCCUAGCCCAUCAUGCUCAACCAAUGAUCCAUUCAUGAAACACACUCGCAUAUUAGCUACAUCCAAUACUCAAGUACGAUCAUAUUGCCUCCUAGUUGGUGCUUUGAUAAGAUAAGAUGGAGACUCAAAUUCAAUAUAAAAAUUGCAUAAAGUAAAAGAAAGGCCCUUCACAGAGGGAAGAGCGGAUUUGUAGAGGUACCAGAGCUCAAAGCGAAAAACUUAGAGAUAAAAACAUUUUGGGAGGUGUAUCACUGGUACGCGUCGGUCAUAUACAAAUGGUUUUUAACCCCUUUCCACGACAGCAUUUGGAACCGUCGCCAAGUGAGUGUGGGUGAUAGGGGGGUCCUUCCCACACGACCUAGAAAACUGUCGGGGGAUAUGCCCUCCUGGCACACACGCUCGGCAAAAUGAGGCCGUGUGCGACCAACGAGUGCUCACAUACGGAAAUACGUACAGUAGAGCUAAAAAAUACAAUUAUGCAGCAAAAUUGUUUCCGGUCGCAAGUACAACCCACACAGUCAGUCCCCGCUAAACAUUUCCGUUCGUAUGUACAUCCCACAUAGUCGCUUCAAGGAAAACUUUUCCGUUCACAGGUACAUCACACACAAUUUUCCCGUUAAAUCGUUUGCGUUAUUGUAUGUAUGACACAUGGUCCGUAGAAGAAACUUUGUGGCAAAGGCUGUCCAUCACACACAGUUUUUAUGUGGUAAACAUUUGCAAAAGGUUGUCUAACGCAAACAGUUUUCAAGAGAAAGUCGUGUGUGAUUGUUUAUUGAUCCAACACGGUUUAUUCCUAGAAUCUGUGUGCGUUGCCUGAGGUCAUCGCCCACGGUAUUUUUUCAACAACCGUUUGCAACAGCAAAACCCAAUUAGCAGGCUAAUUCGCCAUUAGCAGGCUAAUUGCCCUAUUAUUAAUAAUCCAUUUAUUAAUCUAAUUGACAUUCAUAUUAAGCACAUAAUAUAUUUCGUUUCAAUAUUAAGGAAGCAGAAUUUCAUAAUUGAAAUACAUUAGAGUACAACAUGAUAUAGCUUCAACACUCAGCAACCCCAUUACACAACUGCACCAGCACCAAGUUUCACAUGCAACAUGUAGAACCUUUCAAAAUUAGCAUCAUAGACGAUAUAUAGACAGAUGCAUCUCAUCUGGAAAACUGCUGAAGCGGAAGGCGAAUAUUGAGCCUUCAUUCAUGUUGAAGGUCUUUGCAACUUUAGGCCAGUGCCUGUGGAUGAUUGACCGUUCGUCGUUUGUCCUCUUCAGGAACACUUCAAUAUUGAACCGUGGGUGUUGUAUGAAAACCUUCCUCACCUCCUGACCAUAGAGGUGGGUUGAGAGGUAAUCAUCAGAGAACUGCUUUGGAAAGGCCUGAAAACAAGAAUGUGCAUAAAUAUCUUCUCUAUAUUGGAAAUGGGGCAAAGGAAUUAAAAAAAGGCUAGGUAUAAUAGUUAGUACCAUCUUGUAGUGAACUAAUGUCUUCUUCAUUGUGCAGACAAAGGUCUUGUUGUUUUUUGUUGCUAAUUUCUUUAUCCUAAAAAUCUUUCUGAGUUUCUUGAUUUGAUUGAUAUUCAUGGACAACUCAUUUCCCCAUAUGCAAAAAGGGUCGAACAGUGGGUCAAAACCUCUGACAGCAGGACCUACAUGUGCAAGACCAAAUUGUUAAAAACCAAAAUAUUAGAAUGGUUCCUGCAACUGCACAAUAAUGUGCUAUUAGACAACGGACCAUGCACGUGCUAACCUCGAUUGUGAACCUCAGUGCUUCCCAUUGUUUCCCUGCAACACAUAUAAGGUAGUUAGUCAUCAGGUUAAGUAUUUACUAUAGCCAAAUUCAAUUUAUUCCUCACAUGGUAUAUAAUAACAUAAUGCACCCACAACUAUUGAACAUCGCAUUGCAGAAUUGAACCAAAUAGUUAACUAAACACCACAACACAAAUGAACCAAACGUUAACUGAGCACCACAUUGCACAAUGUAUAACCAAACCAAGCAUGCUCGACAACUUGGAAAUAUAGAAAUUGUAUUCGUUUCUCAUGUAUUUUGUAAAGAUAAAUUUGAUUUAUUUCUCACAUGGAAGACAAUACAAAAUUGCAGCCUAAAGAAUUGAACAUCACAUUUGCAUAAUUAAACCGAACAGCUAACUGAAGACGACAACUAAUUAACAAAACAGUUAAUAAGUGAGCACCACACUGCACGGCAUAUAGAACAUAUACACUAGAGCAACAGAUUGCAUGAUAAAAUUAGAUAGCAGAAUUCACUAGAAUUUGUGAAGGAAAGGUAGGAGCAGCACACGCAACGGGUAAACCGAGCAUGCUUAACCGGCAUAGGUAGCAAAUGGUAAGGUGCUCCUCCAAGAUCUAGGGAUCAGUACGAAUGGCAGUCCUUGCGACCUCAUCCGCGCUUGCGGCCGCGAUUUGCUUCUCCGCUGCCAAAUGCUCCUUGAGAUCCUGGCUAUACUGCAUGCACCAUGGCUUAGGGCCACGCUUAUUUGGUGGAGGGGUCGGUGAUUUGGGUGGAACAGGUCGUGCUCGUGCCGACGGUCGGGGCAUGUGGGAUGUGGAAGGAGGAGGAGGAUGGGGGUCGGGUGUGGAUUACCUGCCUGGAUAGAUGAGGCCGAGCAGCGUGAAGGAGGGUCGCCGAUGAGGAGGCGGCACUACAAGCAAGGAGUGAAGGUUUCAACUUGGAAAGGAAGGCGAAAACAGGGGAAAUGUGGCUUUUGGUAAGGGGGAGGGGGAGGGGAGGUAGAUAUUUCCAUGGAAGCCGAAAAUUUGGAAUCACUUCAGUGAAAAAACUGGCGCGCAAGGUGUCAUGAGAAACGGUCUAUUGGGGAUAUAACUAUUGGGUAUGACCCGCCCAGGAGGGGCCGAGUUAUACCAACGAUGGUUCAUCAAGACAAAGCUCAUGAAGAUGUGGAGAUGGCGGUUCAUGAAGCAGACUUGCUAAGGGCCCGAAGCCCAAAGGCGACUUAAGGCCCAUAGGUGUAAACCGCCAUAUAUGUAUGACUUGGAUUGUAAGGCAAGUAUAAUUAGUCACCGAGCCGGACACAUUGAUGAUGAGCCGGCCCGGACCCUGUGAGUCGCCGGGCGUCAACCCGUGUAUAUAAAGGGACGACCCGGCGACGGCUUAGGACAAGAAACAAGAGAGACCCAAAGCUAGGUUAAGCAUAUUCGCUCCCUGGUAAUCGGAACCCAAGCAAUACUACCUCAACUGGAGUAAGCUUUUACCUUCAUAGCAAGGGGCCGAACCAGUAUAAACUCCUGUGUCCUUUGUCCCGUUUAACCCCUUCAAGCUAACCUAGUUGCGAUGGCUGCAUGACUAAGUCCUUCCACUAGGACGUCUACCGUGACAAUUCCACGACAGUUGGCGCCCACCGUGGGGCUGGCGCAUGGUGGUUUCGAGUUCUUGAAGGGCAGCUUCGAAGGGAUCAAGGGAUACGCUAUGGGCCGGAUGACUAAGAGUUGUCAUGGCAAGCUCUACAUCGACGAUGCAGGCUGGGGCCCCGAGGCCGGCUCAAUCGAGUACGAGUACCAGGUCCCCUUUAGCGGAAUCGACAUCUUCAUUGGCAGGGUUGGCGAACUGGGCCCUGAGCCGGACAUCUGCACCGACAUCAUCGAGACGGCUCAGCAUGCACGGUCCGCCCGGGUUCAACCCACCAUGAAGCGUGCCUUUGUUGAUUUUAUCCAUGGGGUAGAAAUUAAAGAUGGAUCUGUAUCUGGCAGUGAGACGGCCAUCUAUUCUGAUGGUGGAUCAUCCAUAGGUGAGACCAACUCAUUGUAUCAACUUCAAGACGGAUGGCUUGGGGGCUAUUCCGAUGGUGAAUGUAUUCCGGACCCCUGCGAGCCGCCGAACAGAGUUGCGGUUUUCAUCGCUGGUACACAACCGAUGCUUGGUUCAUCAACCGUUGCGGCCAUGAUCUCUAGCUCCAUGGCCUUAGCGGCGGCUGGUGCUGGUGGCCCUGCGCACCCGCCGACUCAAGUUCUCACUGAGUUGUUGGAGGCAUUAGCAACUUUGAUGGGGGUGGAGGUAACCCCGGACAACCAGGAUCAGCAUAAGGCAGAUGUGGCUAAGUUGCGGGAUGAGAUAGCUCAAUCCAAGGAGGACUUGGCAGCUAAGAACACCAGGAUGGCUGCAGAACAGGCCGUUUUGGACGCAUAGGCGCAGCGAAUCCAAGCCGACUCCUUCUGGCUCACGUUCGAUCAGAAUGCUUCAAAUGAGGUCAUGAGAAGGAGACACCGGAGUCUUCUACCCCCGGUUUAUGAGCCAAGAAUCCUCUUUAACAUGCCAGGAGUAGGGACCAGUGACCCGCCGGUGGUAAAUCGAACGACUGAAGCGCCUAGGGGUGGAGCGCCGGUUCAGCCUCGAGUGAUGGGCUCUCCACGUGUGAACAAUUCCCCGCCUCAACAUGUUCUGACGCCACCGAGUCAUUAUUCUAGCCCGUUGGACAAUAUGAUUGCUGCAGCAACACGAUUGGCGGCUCUGCCAGUUGAAGGCGAGUCUCCGACGGCGGUUGAAACUGUUGGGGAACGUAGUAAUUUCAAAAAAUUUCCUACGCACACGCAAGAUCAUGGUGAUGCAUAGCAACAAGAGGGGAGAGUGUUGUCUACGUACCCUCAUAGACCGUUUGCGGAAGCGUUAUAUCAAUGCGGUUGAUGUAGUCGUACGUCUUCACGUCCGGCCGAUCCAAGUACCGAAAGCACGGCACCUCCGAGUUUUGCACACGUUCGGCUCGGUGACGUCCUCGCCUUCUCGAUCCAGCAAGAGGGGCGAAGUAGUAGAUGAGUUCCCGCAGCACGACGGCGUGGUGACGGUGUUGGUGAAGAACAAUCUCCGCAGGGCUUCGCCUAAGCACUACGAAAACUAUGACAGAGGAUAAACUAGAGGAGACGGGGUUGCCAGCACACGGCUUGGUGUUUCUUGAUGUGUCCUUUGUGGUAGCCCUGCCCCUCUAUUUAUAUGUUGAGCCCUGGGGUCGAAACUUGGAGUAAAAGCCUCCACAAAGUCGGUUUCACCCGAAAGGCAAGAGUCCUUCUCGGACUCCAGGGCCAGACGCCAGGGUUCCCGGCGUCUGGACCCAGACGCCAGGGACCCUGGCGUCUGGCCCCUGGACUCCGCAAAACUUCCUUUUGCGCUUUCCAAAAACCUUGUGGGCUUUCCCCUUUGUCCCAAAUAAAGUGUUCUCGUACCCAAACAUUUCGGGAAACAUCCGGAACCCCUUCCGGUGAUUUCCGGAACCCUUCCGGUGACCAAACAAUAUUAUCACAUAUAUCAAACUUUAUCUCCGGACCAUUCCGGAGUUCCUUGUCAUGUCUGUGAUUUCAUCCUGGACUCCGAACAACAUUCGGUCACCAACAUACAUAACUCACAUAGUACUAUAUCAUCAACGAACGUUAAGCGUGCGGACCCUACGGGUUCGAGAACUAUGUAGACAUGACCGAGACACCUCUCUGAUCAAUAACCAAUAGCGGCACCUGGAUGCCCAUAUUGGCUCCUACAUAUUCUACGAAGAUCUUUAUCGGUCAGACCGCAUAACAACAUACGUUGUUCCCUUUGUCAUCGGUAUGUUACUUGCCCGAGAUUCGAUCGUCGGUAUCCAAUACCUAGUUCAAUCUCGUUACCGGCAAGUCUCUUUACUCGUUCCGUAAUACAUCAUCUCACAACUAACAUAUUAGUUGUAAUGCUUGCAAGGCUUAUGUGAUGUGCAUUACCGAGAGGGCCCAGAGAUACCUCUCCGACAAUCGGAGUGACAAAUCCUAAUCUCGAAAUACCCCAACCCACAUCUACCUUUGGAGACACCUGUAAUGCUCCUUUAUAAUCACCCAGUUACAUUGUGACGUUUGGUAGCACCCGAAGUGUUCCUCCGGCAAACGGGAGUUGCAUAAUCUCAUAGUCAUAGGAACAUGUAUAAGUCAUGAAGAAAGCAAUAGCAACAUACUAAACGAUCGGGUGCUAAACUAAUGGAAUGGGUCAUGUCAAUCAGAUCAUUCAACUAAUGAUGUGAUCCCGUUAAUCAAAUAACAACUCCUUUGUCUAUGGUUAGGAAACAUAACCAUCUUUGAUUAACGAGCUAGUCAAGUAGAGGCAUACUAGUGACACUCUGUUUGUCUAUGUAUUCACACAUGUAUUAUGUUUCCGGUUAAUACAAUUCUAGCAUGAAUAAUAAACAUUUAUCAUGAUAUAAGGAAAUAAAUAAUAACUUUAUUAUUGCCUCUAGGGCAUAUUUCCUUCAGUCUCCCACUUGCACUAGAGUCAAUAAUCUAGAUUACAUAGUAAUGAUUCUAACACCCAUGGAGUCUUGGUGCUGAUCAUGUUUUGCUCGUGGAAGAGGCUUAGUCAACGGGUCUGCAACAUUCAGAUCCGUAUGUAUCUUGCAAAUCUCUAUGUCUCCCACCUGGACUAGACCCCGGAUGGAAUUGAAGCGUCUCUUGAUGUGCUUGGUUCUCUUGUGAAAUCUGGAUUCCUUUGCCAAGGCAAUUGCACCAGUAUUGUCACAAAAGAUUUUCAUUGGACCCGAUGCACUAGGUAUGACACCUAGAUCGGAUAUGAACUCCUUCAUCCAGACUCCUUCAUUUGCUGCUUCUGAAGCAGCUAUGUACUCCGCUUCACAUGUAGAUCCCGCUACGACGCUUUGUUUAGAACUGCACCAACUGACAGCUCCACCGUUUAAUGUAAACACGUAUCCGGUUUGCGAUUUAGAAUCGUCCGGAUCAGUGUCAAAGCUUGCAUCAACGUAACCGUUUACGAUGAGUUCUUUGUCACCUCCAUAUACGAGAAACAUAUCCUUAGUCCUUUUCAGGUACUUCAGGAUGUUCUUGACCGUUGUCCAGUGAUCCACUCCUGGAUUACUUUGGUACCUCCCUGCUAAGCUUAUAGCAAGGCACACAUCAGGUCUGGUACACAGCAUAGCAUACAUGAUAGAGCCUAUGGCUGAAGCAUAGGGAACAUCUUUCAUUUUCUCUCUAUCUUCUGCAGUGGUCGGGCUUUGAGUCUUACUCAAUUUCAAAACUUUGUCAAGGUAUGUGCUUUGUGAAAGUCCAAUUAGGCGUCUUGAUAUAUAUCUAUAGAUCUUAAUGCCUAAUAUGUAAGCAGCUUCACCGAGGUCUUUCAUUGAAAAACUCUUAUUCAAGUAUCCCUUUAUGCUAUCCAGAAAUUCUAUAUCAUUUCCAAUCAGUAAUAUGUCAUCCACAUAUAAUAUCAGAAAUGCUACAGAGCUCCCACUCACUUUCUUGUAAAUACAGGCUUCUCCAAAAGUCUGUAUAAAACCAAAUGCUUUGAUCACACUAUCAAAGCGUUUAUUCCAACUCCGAGAGGCUUGCACUAGUCCAUAAAUGGAUCGCUGGAGCUUGCACACUUUGUUAGCUCCCUUUGGAUCGACAAAACCUUCUGGUUGCAUCAUAUACAACUCUUCUUCUAGAAAUCCAUUCAGGAAUGCAGUUUUGACAUCCAUCUGCCAAAUUUCAUAAUCAUAAAAUGCGGCAAUUGCUAACAUGAUUCGGACAGACUUAAGCAUCGCUACGGGUGAGAAAGUCUCAUCAUAGUCAACCCCUUGAACUUGUCGAAAACCUUUUGCGACAAGUCGAGCUUUGUAGACAGUAAUAUUACCACCAGCGUCAGUCUUCUUCUUGAAGAUCCAUUUAUUCUCAAUUGCUUACCGAUCAGUGGGCAAGUCAACCAAAGUCCAUACUUUGUUCUCAUACAUGGAUCCCAUCUCAGAUUUCAUGGCUUCAAGCCAUUUUGCGGAAUCUGGGCUCACCAUCGCUUCUUCAUAGUUCGUAGGUUCAUCAUGAUCUAGUAGCAUGACUUCCAGAACAGGAUUACCGUACCACUUUGGCACGGAUCUCACUCUGGUUGAUCUACGAGGUUCAAUAGUAUCUUGAUCUAAAGUUUCAUGAUCAUCAUCAUUAGCUUCCUCACUAACUGGUGUAGGUGUCACUGAAACAGUUUUCUGUGAUGUACUACUUUCCAAUAAGGGAGCAGGUACAGUUACCUCGUCAAGUUCUACUUUCCUCCCACUCACUUCUUUCGAGAGAAACUCCUUCUCUAGAAAGGAUCCAUUCUUAGCAACGAAUGUCUUGCCUUCGGAUCUGUGAUAGAAGGUGUACCCAACAGUCUCCUUUGGGUAUCCUAUGAAGACACAUUUCUCCGAUUUGGGUUCGAGCUUAUCAGGUUGAAGCUUUUUCACGUAAGCAUCGCAGCCCCAAACUUUAAGGAACGACAACUUUGGUUUCUUGCCAAACCAUAGUUCAUAAGGCGUCGUCUCAACGGAUUUUGAUGGUGCCCUAUUUAAUGUGAAUGCGGCCGUCUCUAGAGCAUAACCCCAAAACGAUAGUGGUAAAUCUGUAAGAGACAUCAUAGAUCGCACCAUAUCUAAUAAAGUACGAUUACGACGUUUGGACACACCAUUACACUGUGGUGUUCCGGGUGGCGUGAGUUGCGAAACUAUUCCACAAUUUUUCAAAUGUACACCAAACUCGUAACUCAAAUAUUCUCCUCCACGAUCAGAUCGUAGAAACUUUAUUUUCUUGUUACGAUGAUUUUCAACUUCACUCUGAAAUUCUUUGAACUUUUCAAAUGUUUCAGACUAAUGUUUCAUUAAGUAGAUAUACCCAUAUCUGCUCAAAUCAUCCGUGAAGGUGAGAAAAUAACGAUAUCCGCCAUGAGCCUCAAUAUUCAUCGGACCACAUACAUCUGUAUGUAUGAUUUCCAACAAAUCUGUUGCUCUCUCCAUAGUACCGGAGAAUGGUGUUUUAGUCAUCUUGCCCAUGAGGCACGGUUCGCAAGUACCAAGUGAUUCAUAAUCAAGUGGUUCCAAAAGCCCAUCAGUAUGGAGUUUCUUCAUGCGCUUUACACUGAUAUGACCUAAACGGCAGUGCCACAAAUAAGUUGCACUAUCAUUAUCAACUCUGCAUCUUUUGGCUUCAACAUUAUGAAUAUGUGUAUCACUACUAUCGAGAUUCAUCAAAAAUAGACCACUCUUCAAAGGUGCAUGACCAUAAAAGAUAUUACUCAUAUAAAUAGAACAACCGUUAUUCUCUGAUUUAAAUGAAUAACCGUCUCGCAUCAAACAAGAUCCAGAUAUAAUGUUCAUGCUCAACGCAGGCACCAAAUAACAAUUAUUUAGGUCUAAUACUAAUCCCGAAGGUAGAUGUAGAGGUAGCGUGCCGACCGCGAUCACAUCGACUUUGGAACCAUUUCCCACGCACAUCGUCACCUCGUCCUUUGCCAGUGUUCGCUUCCGUAGUCCCUGUUUCGAGUUGCAAAUAUUAGCAACAGAACCAGUAUCAAAUACCCAGGUGCUACUGCGAGCUCUAGUAAGGUACACAUCAAUAACAUGUAUAUCACAUAUACCUUUGUUCACCUUGCCAUCCUUCUUAUCCACCAAAUACUUGGGGCAGUUCCGCUUCCAGAGACCAGUCUGCUUGCAGUAAAAGCACUCAGUUUCAGGCUUAGGUCCAGACUUGGGUUUCUUCUCUUGAGCAGCAACUUGCUUGCUGUUCUUCUUAAAGUUCCCCUUCUUCUUCCCUUUGCCCUUCUUGAAACUAGUGGUCUUGUUGACCAUCAACACUUGAUGCUCCUUCUUGAUUUCUACCUCCGCAGCUUUCAGCAUUGCGAAGAGCUCAGGAAUAGUCUUGUUCAUCCCUUGCAUAUUAUAGUUCAUCACGAAGCUCUUGUAGCUUGGUGGCAGUGAUUGGAGAAUUCUGUCAAUGACGCAAUCAUCUGGAAGAUAAACUCCCAAUUGAAUCAAGUGAUUAUUAUACCUAGACAUUUUGAGUAUAUGCUCACUGACAGAACUGUUCUCCUCCAUCUUGCAGCUAUAGAACUUAUUGGAGACUUCAUAUCUCUCAAUCCGGGCAUUUGCUUGAAAUAUUAACUUCAACUCCUGAAACAUCUCAUAUGCUCCAUGACGUUCAAAACGUCGUUGACGUCCCGAUUCUAAGCCGUAAAGCAUGGCACACUGAACUAUCGAGUAGUCAUGAGCUUUGCUCUGCCAGACGUUCAUAACAUCUGGUGUUGCUCCAGCAGCAGGCCUGGCACCCAGCGGUGCUUCCAGGACGUAAUUCUUCUGUGCAGCAAUGAGGAUAAUCCUCAAGUUAUGGACCCAGUCCGUGUAAUUGCUACCAUCAUCUUUCAACUUUGCUUUCUCAAGGAACGCAUUAAAAUUCAACGGAACAACAGCACGAUCCAUUUAUCUACAAUCAACAUAAACAAGCAAGAUAGUAUCAGGGACUAAGUUCAUGAUAAAUUUAAGUUCAAUUAAUCAUAUUAGUUAAGAACUCCCACUUAGAUAGACAUCCCUCUAAUCUUCUAAGUGAUCACGUGAUCCAAAUCAACUAAACCAUAACCGAUCAUCACGUGAGAUGGAUUAGUCUUCAAUGGUGAACAUUAUUAUGUUGAUCAUAUCUACUAUAUGAUUCACGCUCGACCUUUCGGUCUCCGUGUUCCGAGGCCAUAUCUGCAUAUGCUAGGCUCGUCAAGUAUAACCCGAGUAUUCUGCGUGUGCAAAACUAGCUUGCACCCGUUGUAGAUGGACGUAGAGCUUAUCACACCCGAUCAUCACGUGGUGUCUGGGCACGACAAACUUUGGCAAAGGUGCAUACUCAGGGAGAACACUUCUUGAUAAUUUAGUGAGAGAUCAUCUUAUAAUGCUACCGUCAAUCAAAGCAAGAUAAGAUGCAUAAAAGAUAAACAUCACAUGCAAUCAAUAUAAGUGAUAUGAUAUGGCCAUCAUCAUCUUGUGCCUGUGAUCUCCAUCUCCGAAGCACCGUCAUGAUCACCAUCGUCACCGGCGCGACACCUUGAUCUCCAUCAUAGCAUCGUUGUCGUCUCACCAAUCUUAUGCUUCCACGACUAUCACUACCGCUUAGUAAUAAAGUAAAGCAUUACAUCGCGAUUGCAUUGCAUACAAUAAAGCGACAACCAUAUGGCUCCUGCUAGUUGCCGAUAACUCGGUUACAAAACAUGAUCAUCUCAUACAAUAAAAUUUAGCAUCAUGUCUUGACCAUAUCACAUCACAACAUGCCCUGCAAAAACAAGUUAGACGUCCUCUACUUUGUUGUUGCAAGUUUUACGUGGCUGCUACGGGCUUAAGCAAGAACCAAUCUCACCUACGCAUCAAAACCACAACGAUAGUUUGUCAAUUUGACUCCGUUUUAACCUUCGCAAGGACCGGGCGUAGCCACACUUGGUUCAACUAAAGUUGGAGAGACUGUCGCCCACAAGCCACCUAUGUGCAAAGCACGUCGGGGGAACCGGUCUCGCGUAAGCGUACGCGUAAUGUUGGUCCGGGUCGUCUCAUCCAACAAUACCGCCGAACCAAAGUAUGACAUGCUGGUAGGCAGUAUGACUUAUAUCGCCCACAACUCACUUGUGUUCUACUCGUGCAAAUAACAUCAAACCAUAAAACCUAGGCUCGGAUGCCACUGUUGGGGAACGUAGUAAUUUCAAAAAAUUUCCUACGCGCACGCCAGAUCAUGGUGAUGCAUAGCAACGAGAGGGGAGAGUGUUGUCUACGUACCCUCGUAGACCGUUCGCGGAAGCGUUAUAUCAAUGCGGUAGAUGUAGUCAUACGUCUUCACGUCCGACCGAUCCAAGUACCGAAAGCACGACACCUCCGAGUUCUGCACACGUUCGGCUCGGUGACGUCCUCGCCUUCUCGAUCCAGCAAGAGGGGCGAAGUAGUAGAUGAGUUCCGGCAGCACGACGGCAUGGUGACGGUGUUGGUGAAGAACAAUCUCCGCAGGGCUUCGCCUAAGCACUACGAAAACUAUGACAGAGGAUAAACUAGAGGAGACGGGGUUGCCGGCACACGACUUGGUGUUUCUUGAUGUGUCCUUUGUGCUAGACCUGCCCCUCUAUUUAUAUGUUGAGCCCUGGGGUCGAAACUUGGAGUAAAAGCCUCCACAAAGUCGGUUUCACCCGAAAGGCAAGAGUCCUUCCCGGACUCCAGGGCCAGACGCCAGGGUUCCUGGCGUCUGGACCCAGACGCCAGGGACCCUGGCGUCUGGCCCCUGGACUCCGCAAAACUUCCUUUUGCGCUUUCCAAAAACCUUGUGGGCUUUCCCCUUUGGCCCAAAUAAAGUGUUCUCGUACCCAAACAUUUCAGGAAACAUCCGGAACCCCUUCCGGUGAUUUCCGGAACCCUUCCGGUGACCAAACACUAUUAUCACAUAUAUCAAACUUUAUCUCCAGACCAUUCCGGAGUUCCUCGUCAUGUCCGUGAUUUCAUCCCAGACUCCGAACAACAUUCGGUCACCAACAUACAUAACUCACAUAGUACUAUAUCAUCAACGAACGUUAAGCGUGCGGACCCUACGGGUUCGAGAACUAUGUAGACAUGACCGAGACACCUCUCUGGUCAAUAACCAAUAGCGGGACCUGGAUGCCCAUAUUGGCUCCUACAUAUUCUACGAAGAUCUUUAUCGGUCAGACCGCAUAACAACAUACGUUGUUCCCUUUGUCAUCGGUAUGUUACUUGCCCGAGAUUCGAUCGUCGGUAUCCAAUACCUAGUUCAAUCUCGUUACCGGCAAGUCUCUUUACUCGUUCCGUAAUACAUCAUCUCACAACUAACAUAUUAGUUGUAAUGCUUGCAAGGCUUAUGUGAUGUGCAUUACCGAGAGGGCCCAGAGAUACCUCUUCGACAAUCGGAGUGACAAAUCCUAAUCUCGAAAUACGCCAACCCAACAUCUACCUUUGGAGACACCUGUAAUGCUCCUUUAUAAUCACCCAGUUACGUUGUGACGUUUGGUAGCACCCAAAGUGUUCCUCCGGCAAACGGGAGUUGCAUAAUCUCAUAGUCAUAGGAACAUGUAUAAGUCAUGAAGAAAGCAAUAGCAACAUACUAAACGAUCGGGUGCUAAGCUAAUGGAAUGGGUCAUGUCAAUCAGAUCAUUCAACUAAUGAUGUGAUCCCGUUAAUCAAAUAACAACUCCUUUGUCUAUGGUUAGGAAACAUAACCAUCUUUGAUUAAUGAGCUAGUCAAGUAGAGGCAUACUAGUGACACUCUGUUUGUCUAUGUAUUCACACAUGUAUUAUGUUUCCGGCUAAUACAAUUCUAGCAUGAAUAAUUGUAACAUCCCAAAUUUUCAAUUUGGAAUGUUAUACAUUAGAUCAUCAUGCAUAUCGUAUUUUCUUGCAUUUUGGUCGAUCCUAGAAAUUUCACGCAACUCAAGGACCUUCGGAGAGAGUUGGAGAUUUCGUUAUUUUCAUAUUUGAGAGUUUUCUCGAAUUGAAAAGAGGAUCAUUUGAUUUAUUUAUUUCAUCUUCAAUAAUUUUUCCGAUAUCAAAAAUAUAAGAGAGGGAAUAAUAUGACUUUCCCAAAAUUGAGGAAAAAUGAAGAUUUAAUAAAUAGAUCAAAUUUUGUUUGCCGGAGUUUAUUUGCAUUUUAUUUGGAUAGGGAAAAAUGCGCGUUUUCAAAAAUUGCAUUUUAGGCCCGGAGAAAAGUUCAUUUUGUUCGGCUCAUUUUUAGGAGUCGGGGAAAAUUUACUUUAGAAUUUUUGGAGUUCGUUUAGUUCUCUUUUUGUUUUUUUUUCUGCGCGCUGAACCAGUUAAAAAAAAGGAGCCAGGCCAGCCGGGCCAAGGCCCAGGCCAGCCGCCGCCCCAGCUCCCUGUGCGCUAAGCGCCAGGAGCCUCGCUCGCCGAGUCCCAGCGGGACUCCAGGAGCCGGCCGUCCCUCCCUUUGGACUCUGGCCGGUUAGCCCGUUGCCUCUUUUCUUUGUUUCAUUUUCCUAUUCCUAGUCUAUUUCUUGUCCCCUACCCCAACAAACCCCCCCUCACCUAUAUAAAUACCCCCACACCCCCCUCUCCUCACACCAAAAAAACCCCAAACCCCCCCUCUCCUCCCCAAGCCGCGCACCACCCCGCGCCUNNNNNNNNNNNNNNNNNNNNNNNNNNNNNNNNNNNNNNNNNNNNNNNNNNNNNNNNNNNNNNNNNNNNNNNNNNNNNNNNNNNNNNNNNNNNNNNNNNNNNNNNNNNNNNNNNNNNNNNNNNNNNNNNNNNNNNGCCCCUCACCACCGCCGCCGCCAUAGCCGCCUCCCCUCACCCACGCCGCCGCCCUUGUGCAUCGCCGCCGCCGCCCAACGCCGCCGUUUGUGGGAGCCCCUCGCCAGAACCUCGCCGGAGGUAGCCCCGCGCCUCUCUUUUUCUUCCCCGCGGUUCGUUUCUUUUAAAAGAAACCGUUCCGGUUUUCUUUUCCGGUUUUUCUCUCCGAUUCUUCGUUUCGGUUUCUUUUCCGAAAACCCUAGAUCGGUUUUCCGUUUUCUUUUUCGGUUUCUUUUUCGGUUUCUUUUCCGAAAACCCUAGAUCGGUUUUCGUUCUUCUUUCGGACCGUUCAUCUCAGUGAUCACCGAUUAUUCCCGAUUAACGACGCCCGUUCGUUUAACCAUUCGUCUCUUUCUUUUCGUCGGAUUUAUUCCGCGAUCGCGAUCUCAGAUCUGAUCUUCGUUCUAGUUUAUCUUCUCACCCGUUUAUCGGAAUCAGGUGAUUCAAGCGCCUGGAGUUUCGUCUCGAAACCGCCGUUCCGUCUAAUCAACUUGAACAAGUUUUUGCUAUGGUAAAAUUUGACCUAGUUUCAACUUGCUAGAACCGAGUUGUUUUCUUCCGUCGUUUGUUUUCCGUCGUUUGUUCGGUUCGUUCUUUCUUUGCAACCGGAGUUCUUAAGUUGAACUUUCUGGUUCGUCCUCUCGUUCGAGUUUUACUUGUGCAUUAGAUGAGUACUUAUUGUGUGGUUACUAUUGUUUGCUUAUGAUAGAUUGACCGAAGUGUGACGAGUAGAUCUAUCAAGAGUUUUAAGUACGAAUCAACUUCAUCUACAUUGCAGGCAAGUUCACACUUUGAUCAUACCUUUUCUACAACCCAGUUUUAUUGCAUUAGAUCAAUCCUCUCACCUUGCAUGAUUAGGAUCUAAUUAAACUGUGGGAUGGGAAGUAGAUGAGGUAGUACCUAUCUCCUGUAUUAUUAUGAAACCUUUGGGAGUUACUUCUACGUUUGCUUAUUAUGCCAUGCUAUGCUAGUAGACGUGGAUUGGGUGAGUGAUAUCCAUGACAGAUGUGAGUUGAUAAUUUUAAUGGUUUAUCUAAGGUGGCAACUUAAACACACAUCUGGGUGGAUUGAGGCACCUGAUGUCUAUCAGGACUUGCCUGUUUUUUUUGGACUGCCACCCAGGCUCAAAGGGAUCAUAAGAUCUUUCAUGCUAGAAACUUCCAUGUGCAGCCACAAGCCAUUUGGGCUCUGGCAUAGUUGACUAAGUCGUGCAAACUCUUACGGGUAGACUAGCAGAUGUAGGGGAAAGUAGGUGUACCGGUCUACCCACACGUAAGGUGCUAGCGCUUCUGAAAGACUGUGUCUCGGUCAUCCGUUUCUCAAACACCAUGUAGUGCGAGAAAACAAACGGAGGCGAUCGGGUCUUGUGGGGAAAAGUGUGCAAACCUCUGCAGAGUGUACAAACUAAUCAUGAUUAGCCGUGUCCCCGGUUAUGGACAACUUGAGUAUCUAGUACUUGAAUAUCAUGUGAAUCUCAACAUGUUACUUCUAACUAAUGUUGUUGGGUUUUAAUUAUUUUUAAUUGGGAUUGAGAAUGCUGUCAACCAUUCUCAAUGUUUCACAACCACCAUGAUAGUUAAAUAAAUUUAUUCGUUUGCAGUAGGGAAAAAUUGGCUUUACGCAAAACUAUAACCAUAGAGCUUUUCCACCAGCCAAAUAUGCAUGUAGUGAUAGCCAUUGUUCAUCAUUCUCUAUGGUGUCAAUUUGCCAGUACAUUCAAUGUACUGACCCGUUUUCGGGCUGCAACGUCUCAUGUUGCAGGUUUCUUACAUCGAGUAAGUGAUACGUUAGGGUUACGAUUUCUACACUCAACUUUGCCGUUGGUGUUGAUGGGAACCCACAACCUUGUUGCUUCCGCUAUAUGGAUUGAGGUAAUAGUAUUUACGUUACUUUAUACAUGUGAUUUACCUCUGUUAUAAAUCCUUCGAGUACUGUGUGUGUCAGCAUAUCGAUCCAGGGAUGACACUUAAGCACAGAGACUUGACCCAUUCGGGUCGGGUCGCUACAAUAAUAAACAUUUAUCAUGAUAUAAGGAACUUUAUUAUUGCCUCUAGGGCAUAUUUCCUUCAGAAACAUGCAGGGCUAGAGAACUUCUUCAGACAGCAUUGGAGAAGCAAGCGGCUUAUUCUUAUAAUCGUGAGUGGCUUUACUCAACCCCUCGUCCAAGCCGGAGUUACAGCAGGCACAUUGACUCACGAGCGGUUUCAAGUGCUGAAAAACGCCGUAACCGGCCCCGUGGACAUGACCCGGCGCGCGAUGAUGCUGAUGCCCUGGCUCUGGUGGAUCAGAGCAGGGCGCGUCGGGAGGCCGAGCUGGUGGCUCAGCAAGCGGCUCACCGACAGUCUCCGGUUUACCCAACAACUUCAGUGGAAACAGGUGUGGCCUCUAAGACCUUGGGUGUGCCUUGUUUAGUGUCGGCUCUGUGUAACGAGCGUUUGCCCAAGGACUUCAAGGGUCCUCACAAGGUGCCUAAUUACACAGCAGAUCAACCUCCUGAAGCUUGGGUUGAAAGUUAUGAGAUGGCCAUGGAGAUGCUGGAUGUUAGUGAGGCUGCGUGUGCUAAGUAUUUCACCAUGAUGUUAGAACGUCCGGCUCGUACUUGGUUGAAGGGACUGCCCGCCAAUUCUAUCAGGUCAUGGGUGGAGUUGAAGGCCCAGUUUCUUCAAAACUUUAAGGAUACGUGCAAGCAGCCUAUGUCGGUCGUGGAUUUGGUGUCUUGUGUCCAAGGUGAAGGAAAGUCAAAAACCAAUUGGGUGCGCUGGGUCUCAACCAUCAUACACUCGUCAGAUAAUAUCAACAUCGGCUCAGCAGUUUUAAUGUUGGAGAAAAAUUGCCAUUUCCUCCCUCUUAAGCAGAAGCUUGGGCGACUUAAGCACCAUUGCAGUGACAUGGGGGAGCUCAUGGCAGCCCUUGUCAAGUAUGCCGACUCUGAUAGUACCAAGGACCCCGAGUCUCAUGACGAAAAGACGGGCAAGGGAAAUAAGAGUAGCAGCAUGAAGGGACAACAGUAUAACCCGACCAGUCAGGGUGGGAACGGUAAGCGCAGAGCUGAUGGAAAUUUAUACUCCAUGGCCAACACAGGUGGAUGGAAUAAUUACCAGCGUCGCAAGGGAAGGCCGGCUCAGCCUGGGGGGGAGAACUCGACCUCGAGGCAGUAAUGAAUCAGCCAUGUCCGAGGCAUGGAACAUAGGAGAGGCCAUCUAAACAUCUGUGGAAGGAUUGUUUUAUCAUGAAGGAGUUCAAGAAAUCCCAUCUUUUCUAGAAUAACCAUGGCCUGAAUGGUGGCUCGGGAUCCGGUUCUCAUGGUCUAGGUCAUGGAGGUGGCGGUUCAAAUUCUGGUUUUCAAGGCCAAGGCAAUCAGGGUGGUUACAACCAACCGAAUAAUCAGGGAAUCAACAGCAAUCUGGUUAUCAAAGUAACCCGAAGCAAUUGAAUAGUGGGCAGUACCACGUUUUCACCACGAGUUUAUGUAAGCGGGAUCAGAAGCUCCAUGAAAGGGCAGUGAACACCGUGGAGCUGGCGGUGCCCCGUUACUUGCGAUGGUCUGAACACCCUAUUCUCCGGAGCCGUGAGGAUCACUCGCCCCAGGUUGAUAAUCCGGGUCAUUUGGCGCUAGUGGUGGCACCGUAGGUUGGAGGAUACAAGUUCACUAAAGUACUCAUGGAUGGAGGCGGCAACAUUAAUAUCCUUUAUUAUGAAACUUUUCGUUGCAUGGGAUUAACAGACAAAAUUUUUAAGCCAUCGAACAUUGUUUUUCACGGUGUGGUUCCUGGUAAGUAGGCAUAUCCAGUGGGUAAAAUAUCUUUGGAGGUUGCCUUUGGAGAUGAGUACAAUUCCAGAUCUAAGACGUUGACUUUUGAAGUGGUUAAUAUCAAAAGCCCUUAUCAUGCUCUGUUUGGGCGGCCGGCUUAUGCUAAAUUCAUGGCAAGGCCUUGUUAUAUUAAUUUACAUCUGAAGAUGCCGGGUCACAAGGGAACAAUCACAGUGCAUGGGAGUCGCAAGAUAGCCUUGGAGUGUGAAGAGGGUGAUGCAGCUUAUGCUGAGUCUGUCUGCGCCACGGAGGAGCUAAAAUUUUAUAAAGAUAAUGUUGACCCGGUAGAUAUGACAUCCUUGAAGAAGCCAACCACAUAGCAUGAUUCUUUAUUGAAGUUUAAGUUGGCAGAUGACACUAAGCUAGUUGACUUUGUUCCUGGCGACUCAUCUAAGCAGUUCAACAUCAGUGCUAAUCUAGAACCGAAAUAGGAAAGCGCGCUCAUCGAGUUCAUCCGUGAGAAUCUGGAAAUCUUUGCAUGGAAGCCUUCAGAUAUGCUAGGUGUCCCGAGGGAGCUCGCUGAGCACACUCUUAAUAUUGACCCAAAUUUUAAACCGGUCAAGAAAUUCCUUCGCCAUUUCAAUGAAGAGAGGCGUAAGGCUAUUGGUGAGGAGGUAGCCCGACUCUUGGCGGCUGGGUUCAUUGUCAAAGUUUUUCAUCCUGAGUGGUUGGCUAACCCGGUGCUGAUGCUUAAGAAAAACGGCACCUGGCGCAUGUGUGUGGAUUAUACGGACUUAAACAAGGCUUGUCCGACUGAUCCCUUUGCUCUCCCCCGUAUCGAUCAGAUUAUUGAUGCUACGGCGGGUUGUGAGCAUCUGAGUUUUUUGGAUGCUUAUUUUGGUUAUCAUCAGAUCAACAUGGCAGUUAAGGACCAGGAGAAGACAACCUUUAUUACUCCCUUUGGAGCCUUCUGUUAUGUAUCGAUGCCUUUUGGGCUCAAGAGUGCCCAGGCGACUUACCAACGGUGUGUUCAAAAUUGCCUCCAUGAUCAAAUUGGGCGCAAUGUUCACGCUUAUGUGGAUGAUAUUGUGGUGAAUUCCAGGAAGAAGGAGACCCUGAUAGAUGAUUUAAAGGAGACCUUUGACAAUCUCCGGGUCUAUAAGAUGAUGCUUAACCCGGCCGAGUGUGUUUUUGGUGUGCCAGCAGGCAAGCUUUUGGGUUUUUUGGUUUCGGAAUGAGGUAUUGAAGCUAACCCAGAGAAAAUAAAGGCUAUCACAUCCCUGGCUAAGCCGGCGUGUAUUAAUGAUGUUCAGCGUUUGGCGGGUUGUAUUGUAGCUUUAAGCCAGUUCAUAAGUCGGUUAGGUGAGAAGGCCAUCCCUCUUUAUCAGAUGAUGAAGAAGAUAGAUCAUUUUGUUUGGAGUGAUGUUGCUGAUCAGGCGUUUGAGGCCUUGAAGAAAUAGUUGGCUGAGCCGCUGGUUCUUGCUGCUCCCAUGGAUAAGGAGCCUUUAUUGUUAUAUGUGGCUACCAAUAGCCGAGCCGUCAGUGUAGCCAUUGUGGUGUAAAGGAAGGAAUCAUGCAAGGAGCAUCCGGUUCAGCGGCCAGUUUACUACAUCAGUGAGGUGCUUAUUGAGUCCAAGCAGAGGUAUCCACAUUGGCAGAAGCUUGUAUAUGGGGUGUUCAUGGCUAGCCAGAAGCUCUAGCAGUAUUUUCUGGGUCAUCCCAUCACUGUGGUUAGUUCUGCUCCCUUAGGGGAUAUUAUUCAAAACAGAGAAGCCACGGGUCGAGUAGCCAAGUGGGCCAUUGAACUUGGACCCCAUGGUUUAAAGUAUAUGCCUCGCACAACCUUCAAGUCUCAAGCACUUGUAGAUUUUAUCAAUAAUUGGACAGAGUUGCAGAUGCCUAAGGAGAAGCCGGAUAGCACAUACUGGACUAUUCACUUUGAUGGAUCUUGGCAGUUGGAGGGCUCGUGGGCUGGAGUUGUCUUGACUUCCCCAUGAGGUGAUAACUAUUCUUAUGUUUUCUGGUUGAUGUUCCCUUGUACUAACAAUGCAGCAGAGUAUGAGGCCUUGCUUCAUGGGCUUUGGAUGGCCAAAGAGAUGAACUUAAGCCGGGUGAGGUGUUUCGGUUACUCAGAUCUAGUGGCUCGGCAAGUUUCUGGUACUUGGGAUUUUAAGGAUCCACUCAUGGCGGCUUAUCGCCGAGAGGUUGAUGCUAUCGCUAGCCAUUUCAAAGGUUAUCAAGUGGAACAUGUUGAUCGCAGAAAAAAUGAGGCAGCUAAUGCUUUGAGCCGGUUACGGUCCCAGCGUAAGCCGGUGCCACCUAACACUUUCCUGGAUAUUCUGCAUACCCUUCAGUCAAAUUACCUACGGAGGAGGAUUUAGCUAUUCCUGACCCGGAAGCACAACUGGUGGUGCCUCUUCAUGUUAUUCCUGAUUGGACAGUUCCAUACAUGGCCUAUAUGACCCGGGGCGAGUUACCUGAGGAUAAAACUUUGGCCAGGUAGACAACCUGGCGGUCUAAGUCAAUGACUAUUGUCAAUGGAGAGUUGCAUCAUCGCAAUGUUAUAGGGGCAUUUCAACGUUGUGUUUCUCCUGAAGAAGGCUGUGAGAUUCUGCGAGAGACUUAUGAAGGAGAUUGUGGUCAUCAUGCCGGUUCCAAGUCUCUUGUAGCCAAGGCUUUCCGACAUUGGUUUUAUUAGCUGAAGGUUCAUGCUGAUGCUAAGGAUUUAGUUAGUAAAUGUGAUGGUUGUCAGAAAUUUGCGCGAUGAGCUCAUGUGCCGGCUCAAGAAUUGAGGAUGAUUCCAAUUGCUUGGCCGUUUGCAGUCUGGGGCAUUGAUAUGGUUGGGCCUUUCAAAAGGUCCAAGGACAAAAAGACCCACCUCCUGGUGGCGGUUGACAAAUUUACAAAGUGGGUUGAAGCAGAGCCGGUUAGCAAGUGUGACGCAGCGACAACGGUUCAAUUCAUGAAAAAAGUGAUCUUCUGGUUUGGUUUUCCCCAUAUCAUCAUAACUAAUAAUGGCACUAAUCUGUCCAAGGGUGAUAUGAAAGAGUUUGUCAGCGAGAGCAUAUUCGACUUGAUGUAUCAUCAGUGGCUCACCCCCAGUCUAAUGGUCAAGCUGAAAGAGCCAAUCAAGAAAUUUUGCGAGGCAUCAAGCCCUGGCUUAUGGUCCCUUUGCAAAGGAUGCUGGGUUGUUGGGUAGAGGAGUUACCCUCAGUGUUAUGGAGUAUCAAUACCACCCCCAACAGAUCUACGGGAUACAUGCCUUUCUUCAUGGUUUCCAGAGCAUAGGCGGUUCUCCCUAGUGACAUCCGUCACGAUUCACCCCAUGCGGCGGCUUAUGUGGAAGCUAAUAAUGGAAAAGCACGCCAGGACGCACUUGACCUGUUGGAUGAGGAGCGUGACCUUGCGGCGGCUCGUUCGGCGACUUACCAGCAAGAUCUGCGCCGUUAUCACAGCCGCUGGGUUAAAACCAGAACCUUUCAAGAAGGUGACUUGGUGCUCUGGCUUAUCCAGGAUCAGACUGAUAUGCAUAAGCUAUCCCUGCCUUGGGAAGGGCCUUUUGUGGUCAGCAAGAAUCUGAACAAUGGGUCAUACUAUCUUAUUGAUGUUCAAGAUCACAAGGACUCACGCACAUCGGAGGAGGACACCCGUCGGCUGUGGAAUAUCGCUCAUCUUCGGCCUUACUAUACUUGAGCCACCGGCUCUUGUGAUGUACAUAUUUUGACGAUGUGUAUAUUAUAAUGAAAAUAAUAAAGCCGACAUCCCUGAUAAUUCAGGGCCUCUGUCAUUUCAUUUCUUCGAAACUGAGUCUUUAUUAUCAUUUCAUAUAAAAGGCUUGAUGCCCAAAGUUACAGAGACCAAAAAGAGUUUGAUGCACAGCACAGCUCAAACAUAGGUACCUGUUGAUCACAGCUCAAAAACAUAUCACUUGGGGGCUUCCUGUUCAAUGAACAUAGCUGUAUCUACCCUCUUGAUUGGCAUGGAUGCCAGGUGUAUUCACCAAAAAUCCGGGUUAUCUGGCCUGUAUCCAAGAUGCCCUUCGACCAGGUAAUUCUGGAUGACCUGUUCUGUUCUUAACAAGUCAAUCUCUUAAAUGAGACCCUGAACUUGUCAAGGUUAAAACAUUGAUUGGGUCAUGAAAGAGCCAACUUACAGAAUGCAAGGAGAAGCUCAGGCUGAUAAGCCGCCUUCCUUGAAACUUGGUUAAACCGACAUGUUUUGCACGAUGCUACUCCGACCCCGCCAUACUCUCGAUAAGUCAAUCUUUUAAAGACCCUGAACUUAUCCAGGUUAAAAUGUCGAUUGGGUCAUGUGAGAGCCAGCUCACAGAAAGCGCGGAUACUCCAGUGGCUAUCAUGCUAGUUUCAUUGAAGAAGAUAUUUUGGCUCGGCGGCCUAUGAAAGCCUCGUGUUUUUUGGGUUCUUUAUUUAUUUUAUUGAUUUCGGAUUUGGAUCACCUCUUUUUCUUACCAUAUGGUUUUUACAACUUGGGCCAGGCAGCCCUGAUUAUGUCUCAUAUUUGGGAUAUUACCCCCUACCCUGGUUAUGGACUCUUAUGGUCACUAGUGGAAUUAUACUGGGCAUCAUGACCCGCCCUACGGUAAACCGCCAGGGCACUUAUGAUUUGUUUGUGUGCAGGAAAAAGGGAUAAAUAAUUGAUCUACAUGAUGAUAUCAUAAACAUAAGUUGCAUAGCCUCAACCGAUGGAUCAGCAGUAUCAUGUAAAAUAAAAACAUGCACGAUGGCAUGGCAGAUCAAGAGUUUCACUAGCCUAUUACAAGGCAUCUGGUGGCCCGAUAAGAACAAAUGUUUUGGAAAUGUCAAACACAAUAAAGUACUUUGCUUGAUAAGCCGGCUCAUGACUGUAGGAGGGUUGAAGCCUCCGGGUCACCUUGUGCUUCUUCUUCAUCUUCAACUCCUUGGUUAUCUAUCAGCUAGAAGUCAGGCGUAGCCCAGUCGAUACCGGUCAACGCUCUAAACACAGCCUCAUCAACAAUAAGGUUUGAUGGAUCAAUGUCAGGAGCGAAGGUAUGCUUACAAAUUGGCGGGAUGAGAUCUGUCUCCUAAUGAAUCAGUGCUUUCACCUUUUUAUUAUCAGCGUCAUAAGCUGCCUGAUACUAUGAUAGAUUGGUUUAUUUUCUUUAGCUAGCCGGGUUGCCAAUGGGCGCAUUGAUCUUACUAUAUCUGCAAAAUCAUCUACACUGAAGGGCGUCCUGUCUUCUUUUACGCUUGGGCAACCAUUGGCCAGAUCCUUCGGGUCAAGAUCUGCUUGCCAUGCUUUCUCCCGGCUUAGGGUAGUUAAAGCGCUGGCUCUGGCAGAGGCUUGUUUCAACUCUUCAAUCCUUUCGGACACUACUGACAAUCUUUCCAAUGUCUCCUUGAUAAGACUAGGUGACUGUUUUUUGUGAAGAGCAGCAGCAAUGGUCCGUUGAGCACCAAUAUUUGUUCUACCAGAGUGUAGACAGCCUUCAACCGGACGUGCAUGUCUGAGCCCAAAUUGGCGCUUCGGGAGCCUGUAUUAAUUCAUUUAUUUAUUAAGCCGACACAGUUUAUAACAGAUUCAAUGGGAUAAAUGGUAGCAGGGUUAAUACUUACCAAAGAUAGCUAGUGACAUAUUAGUAAUUUGCUGCCUUAAGCUGGACAGUUCAUCAGUUACUGACUUAAGAGCGGCUUCAGCUUCUUCUGCUCUUUUCAGUAGAGCCGCCUUUUCAGUCUCCCAGCUAUCUUUGUCAGCACUGAAGGUCUGCUUGAGCUGCUCAACGUUUGCCGAAGAAAUCCUCAAUUCUGAUUGGGCCUUGGAUGUUAAAGAUUUUUGAGUCUUUAUGUUGGCCUUCAAAUCAUUGAGUCGCGAGUCCUUCUCAAUCAAUUCAGCCUGUGACAUAAGUGCACAUAGACAAGAUUACGAUCAUGAUUACCCUUUCAAAGUCCCAAGCACAAUACAAGUAUUAUUGUUGGCACUUGGGGGCUAAUGCAUAUUGCUCUUUUUGAAGACAAAUUUUUCAAAGUCCCAAGCACAAUAUAAAUAUUAUCCUUGGCACUUGGGGGCUAAUGCCUAUUGGUGUUUUCCAAGACAAAUUUAUGACCCGGACAAAUGAUGUGAUCCGGCCUAUAAAGACGAUACAUUGGGUUGUUGAUUUUAAAACAGGAUGAUUAGUCCCGACUUAUUCAUCACUAAUUAAGCUGGCCAUUGGGGGCUACGGUUGCAAUAUUAAUUCUUGCUACUUAAAGUCCCGGUUUAACAUAUUUGUUAAGCCGGACCUUGGGGGCUACUGGAUUUUAUCUAUGCAACUAUUGAAGUUUACAGUGCAUUCUAUUCUAUCAUGUCCAAUAAACUUGGCAGCUAAGGGAAGUAUAUUCAUAUAGAAACGAGUUGCAACAUUUACCUCAUAGCGCUCUUUCAUCGGAUUCACUAAGCCGGCUUCAAAGUCACGGCUGGUGUACAGACGCUUCAAGUAACUAGAGUGGAUGUCUUGGGCACUGAAAUGGGCGUAGCUAUCCAAGUCCACCUUCCAAUUGCCUUUAUCUUCAACAGAAAUUUCUUCCUUGGCACUGUGCUAAAUAAGGUAGUAGGUUGACCCAAAGCUGUGAAUCCAACCCCAGUAAAGAUAACGUCAUCAGCUUUCUCCUCAGUAGGCUUAAUCGGGCUUGACGGCUUAGAAAUAUCCGGUUCAACAUCCAUAUGAUCUAUGGAGGCCUCAUGGUGUUGAGGCGGCGGGUCAUCAAUAAUAUUUUCAGUAGCUGGUUGUUGUUGUUCUGGCUCAGACGGGAUGACGUCGUCGGCCGGUUUAUUCAGUUUUGCUUUCUUGCUGGGUUUGGCCUGGCCCCUGAAAAUAAGAAGUGUAAAGAGGUCAGUGCAAUGCUCAGAUAUAAGGUAUAAAUAAUUGAACAUGUUCUUACCCAGGUACAGUCUUGAAGGCUGGGAUUUGAGUUCCCGUUGACUCGCCAGAGGAGGAAUGAGAAGUCCCCUGAUAGUUUGAAUCGGACGGGUUAAGAGGUUGUCAGAAAUAACCCGCCUUGGGAUAAAGUGUAUCAGAAAUAUGUAAGACCUCUGGGCGAUGUUUGCGAGCUGCGUGUUUGGUAAGAUGGAGAAAGUAAUUACACCACCACUAUGCCGGGUGGUGCAACGAGCUUCGUGUUGCUGUUUCUUCAAAAGAAAGUUGGGAUCCAAGUGAGCUAGAGGGUGAGAAAGCCUUACUUUUCGGCUUGCUUGUCGGGUUUUCUGUGUUGGCAGAGGCUCUGAGCCGGAGGAAAGAAUAAUUACCUCUGUGUCGCCUGCAUGGCUGGCUUCUGCGUCGUCCUGAUAACAAUCGUUGUCAAUGAGAUGUAUAAAAAAAGAGCCAAGUGAAUCAAGUUCUACCUAUGAUUCAUCGUCAUCAGUGUCAUCAUCAAUAUUUAAGCCGGCCAUCUCGGCGGUUUUCUUCUUGGCACGUCUUUUGGUGACCUUGGUUUUUGUACGAGCUGGCUUAACCAACUUAUCUUGCGGUUUCUUCUUCCAAAAUGGAGAGUCAGCCUGUUAAGGUCAAAAAGAUCAUGAGUGGGUGUAAUUAUGGAAAAUACUGAUGGAGCGGAAGAUGUGCAAACUUACGGCUGGCGGCUUGUUGAAGGUGCUAAAAGGACUAAGUCCUGUCGUGAUGCAUUCUUUUAAAGGUUCGUUCAUCAAUUUCUUGGUAGCUUCAUUGAUUUCUGCAUCGGACAGUUGGAUGUCACAGUGGCGCUGGGGAUCUUUCACAUUGCCAGUGUAUUCACACAUUAAGCCAAGGCGACGGCUUAAUGGCAAGAUACUCCAGGACACCCAGCACCAGACAAGGUCGACGCCGGUUAAACCAUUGGCCAUAAAGGCUCCGAGCUUUCAAAAUGAUGGUGUAUAUUUGGCCUGCUCCUUCGCACUGAGCAGUGAGGGGAGUGGAUGUGUGUUGCUAAGCCGGGAUCGCCGUAACCCAGUAAGGGAUUUUCGUUGGCUGGAGAUGUGUCUUGACAAUAGAACCAAGUUUGGUUCUAGUCUUUGGGGUGACUUGGCGGCUUAGCUAUGACGCCCCGAGACCGAUGUGCCAGGUGUCUUCCAGUUAUUCGCUGUUGUUGCCAUGUCAUUUGCUUGCGUGUUGCAUUUCAUCAUGUCAUCAUGUGCAUUGCAUCAUCAUGUUUUCAAAACCUGCAUCCGUCCGGGUUCCCCUAGUUCCGUCCGUUGUCCGUUCUGAGCCCAACCUCAGUCGCACGCGCCUGUGGCACGUCCGAAUUAUUAUUUUAUAAGUGGCCGGAAAAUGUUCUCGGAUUGGGUUGAAAGUUGGCGUGUGGUCUUAUUAUAGUGUAGAUAGACCGCCUAUCAAGUUUCAUCGCGUUUGGAGUCCGUUUGAUAGCCCAACCGUUAAACUAUAGCGGUAGUAUAGCCGGUCUUUUCGUCGGACGUUUUCGGUCUCCGAAAACCGUGCCGGGCUGCUUCUCUCCCCUAUUCUCUCACACCAACCCGCUCUCCACAGUCCACACUUAACCUCGUUCGCCUAACCCCUAUCUACACAGUGCUUCGACCCCUCGCGCGCGUCCGAGAGUUGUCCCGGACCCGACCCGGACAGUUGUCACCGUUGGAUCCGGAUCAUCCCCAAACAUCUACAAAACGUCUCCGUUUUGUUAUUUGGACUCCCUAACCAAUUUAUUCUCGACCGCCCGAUUACGAUCGGACGGACCGAAUGCCCCCUAACCUAAUCCAACAACAUAUAUAUAGAAAGCAACCCUAAUUUUGAGGAGAGUUGUCCCAUCCAUCCACUUCUUCCGCCGCCAUCCUCUCUCUAAAUCCUCCUCGGAGUCCACAUCGAGCCAACCACACAACACCAGCCAGAUCCAAAAAUUUCACCCACUUCCCUCCUGUCUCCUCGCUAGUUGGAGCCUCCGAAGCCGCAGCUCCUGCCCGUGGAGCCCCUCGUCCCCGUGCCCCUGGUUCGCUCGAUCCAGAGGAGAGGAGCAUGCCAUCGUCAGGCUCCUCCCUGCUCCCUCGCUCUAGUUUGGAUCGAGGGGAGGAGCCCCUCGACCUCGACCCGCCGCCCCGCCAAGUCGUUGGAGUCCGCCGUGGCGUCCGAUUUCCGCCGGAGUUGCUCUGUUCCUCGCACGAACCAGCAGGUCGUCCACACCGCCCUGCCCUUUUUACUCUCCUUCGCUGAAGCUCUAUCUGCCUCCCUGACCUCUCUUCCUCUCUUGGAGCAGCAGCAGCAGAAGCUUCCACCACCACGCCGUGUUUCCGUUCCUCUGCUUCGUCGCCGUCCAGGAACGCCCCGAGUCCACCACCGCCGCCCUGCUUUCCUCCUCUGCUUCGGGCCAUGUCCAGCACCACGUCGACUCCUGCAUCGCCCUAUUGUCGCGUCGUUAGCCGCCGCUGCCGUGGUCUUCCCCUUCGCCAAGUCCCAGCACCCGCGGCCCUCCGCCUCUCGCCUUCCUGCAUUUGCUGCGCCGCCGCGUUCCCCGUCGCCGUCGACCUCCAUGCCCCGCCACCGGCCUCUGUGAUUUCUGCAUCAAGCAGGAGCUCGAACCGCUGCCCUGUUCGUCUUGAUCCAACGAGACCGGGUCGGCCUCCUCGUGACCGUGUGGGUCGCUUCCUGCAGCGAGGCCCAGCACGCCCCUCUCCUCUCCGUUGUGGGCCUCGGCCCAUGGUGAGCAACACCCCAGCCCCUCUCUCUGUUGGUCUUCCUGUUCAGUUUCGGCCCGAGUCACGUUUGUUUCCGCGGAAUGUUUUUCUAUUUAACCAGUGCUCUGCAUUUUUAUAGAUUGGACCCUAUACUUCAUGCAUAUAAUAUCUCACAAACCGUGCAUCGGAUUAUAACAAACUUUAUAUGUAACAUGCUUAGAAUUUCAUCUAGUUUAAUAAUAUGCUACUUUCAUCCAUGUUAAAAAUGUUUAAACUUCUGUUUGUGUAAUUUUUGCCUAUUAUCAUGCUAAAAUGAUUUAAUUCAUAACUAAAUAACCAUAGCUCCAAAUUUAACAAACUUUAUAUGUAAAUGGGGUGGAAAAUGCCUAGUUUAACAUGGUGGCAUCAUCUUGCAUGUUUAGUAACUCUAAAAUUGUGUUUAGGGCAGAUCAGUACCAAAUUCAAAUAUUGCAUGUGGGGAUUUACCGGAAUUGUUGAUUGUUAUUUCCGGCCUCAGUUAAACUUGCCUAAAAUGUUUAGUUUACUUAUGCUCCACCUCUUGCCAUGUUUAACAACAUUUAACAUUGUUGGAUACAUAAACAAGAUCGAACUAAAUAAGUCACGUGGUGUUUCGUCAAUAUGCAACGGAUAUUGAGCUCCACUUAAUUUGUAGGGUUGUUUGUGCACUUUGCCAUGUCAUGCAUAUUUAAACCGGACAUGCAUCAUACUUGGUUGUGCAUCAUGCCAUGUUUAUGUGAUGGUUGUUUACCAUGUUGUUUGCUUCUUUCCGGUGUUGCUUCUUCGGGUUAGUUCCGUUAACGUCGCGUUUGUGAGGAUCCGUUCGACUAUGUUCGUUUGUCUUCUUCAUGGACUUGUUCUUCUUCCUUGCGGGAUCUCAGGCAAGAUGACCAUACCCUCUAAAUCACUUCUAUCUUUGCUUGAUAGUUGCUUGUUCUUUUGCUAUGCCUAUGCUGCGAUACCUACCACUUGCUUUAUCAUGCCCCCAUAUUGCCAUGUCAAACCUCUAACCCACCUUGUCCUAGCAAACCGUUGUUUGGCUAUGUUACCGCUUUGCUCAGCCCCUCUUAUAGCGUUGUUAGUUGCAGUUGAAGAUUGGAGCUUGUUCCAUGUUUGGAACAUGGAUAUUUGUUGGGAUAUCACAAUAUCUCUUAUUUAAUUAAUGCAUCUAUAUACUUGGUAAAGGGUGGAAGGCUCGGCCUUAUGCCUGGUGUUUUGUUCCACUCUUGCCGCCCUAGUUGCCGUCAUACCGGUGUUAUGUUCCUUGAUUUUGCGUUCCUUACACGGUUGGGUUAUAAUGGGAACCCCUUGAUAGUUUGCCUUGAAUAAAACUCCUCCAGCAAGGCCCAACAUUGGUUUUACCAUUUGCCACCUAGCUUUUUCUUUCCCUUGGGUCGGCCGGCUCAAGGGUCAUCUUUAUUUAACCCCCCCGGGCCAGUGCUUCUCUAAGUGUUGGUCCAACUGAGCGAUGUCCGAGGCUACCAGGGGCAACUCAGGGCUGGCCUACCCGACGUCUUGCUCAUCCGGUGUGCCCUGAGAACGAGAUAUGUGCAGCUCCUAUCGGGAUUUGUCGGCACAUCUGGGUGGCUUUGCUGGUCUUGUUUUACCAUUGUCGAAAUGUCUUGUAACCAGGAUUCCGAGCCUAAUCGGUUCUUCCUGGGAGAAGGAAUAUCCUUCGUUGACCGUGAGAGCUUGUGAUGGGCUAAGUUGGGACACCCCUACAGGGUUUUGAACUUUCGAAAGCCAUGCCCGUGGUUAUGGGCAGAUGGGAAUUUGUUAAUGUCCGGUUGUAGAGAACUUGACACUUAACUUAAUUAAAAUGCAUCAACCGCGUGUGUUACCGUGACGGUCUCUUCUCGGCGGGGUCCGGGAAGUGAACACGGUGUUGGGGUUAUGCUUGAACAUAAGUAGUCUAGGAUCACUUCUUGAUCAUAGAUUCUCGACCGUGCUUUUGCCUUCUCUUCUCGCUCUCAUUUGCGUAUGUUAGCCACCAAAUAUGCUAGUCGCUUGCUGUAGCUCCACCUCAUACCUUUUACCCUUCCUAUAAGCUUAAAUAGUCUUGAUCACGAGGGUGUGAGAUUGUUGAGUCCCCGUGACUCACAGAUACUUCCAAAACCAGUUUGCAGGUGCCGAUGAUACCGUGCAGGUGACGCAACCGAGCUCAAGGAGGAGCUCGAUGAAGAUCGUGUUCGUUAUGUUGUUCCGUUUUUCAGAUGAUCAGUAGUGGAGCCCAGUUGGGAUGAUCGGGGAUCUAUGUAGUAUUUGGGGUAGUCUUCAUCUAUUUUGGUUCCGUAGUCGGACCUUGAUUGUAUCUGGAUGUUGUAAUGUUAUAUUCAUGUAUUGUGUGAAGUGGAGAUUGUAAGCCAACUAUGUAUCUCUUUCCUUUCAGUACAUGGGAUGUGUAAAGAUUACCCCUCUUGCGACAUUGCUUACAAUGUGGUUAUGCCUCUAAGUUGUGCUUCGACACGUGGGAGAUAUAGCCGCAUCGUGGGCGUUACAUUAGCAUAGGGAAAGCUGACAUCUUUCCUCUUUUGAAUUGAAACCCCACCAAUUUUAGUGUUGGGCCCAUCAACAAAUUCAAUCUGGUGGUUUAAAUAGUAGAACUCUCUGAAUAAAUCAAUUGUGGGCUCCUCUUGAAGAUAAGCUUCACAGAACACUUGGAAAUUGCAAAUGUUGGACACGGAGUUGGGUCCGAUAUCUUGAGGGUGAAGUUGGAGAAAAUGAAGCACAUCACGGAAGAACUUUGAGCUGGGUGGGCCGAACCCCCGACUCAGGUGAUCAGCAAAAACAAUCACUUCUCCAUCCUUGGGUUUAGGAGGAAAUUCUUCACCAGGCACUACUGCAGGAUGCUACUAACGCGACACUACGAUAAAAUGACCCUUCGACGAAACUGUGUGCGAUGCAAUAAUAGCGAACGUUGGUGUAAAAGAACCACCAAAAAAGGUGCAAAACAUUUGCGAUUGAGGAGCCAUCAAACACGGUUCAGAUUUUAGUUACGUGUGUGAUUCAGGACAUACGGUUCAGUCCAAUGAACUCUGUGCAUGAGGCGGAACAAAAGAAACGGGCAGCCUGAUGAAGGCGUGUGCGAUAUACAGCAUACGGUUCACUCGGAUGAAUUGUUUGUGAUUAGGCAACACAAAAGAAACGGUCAGCCAGAUCAAGGUGUGUGUGAUUGAGGGCAUACGCUUCAGAAGGAUUAACUGUUUGCGAUUAGGCAACAGAACAGAAAUGGUUCCGCCAAAUCAAAGUGUCUGGUUGAUGGCAUACACUUCACAUGGAUGAACUGUUUGCGAUUAGCCACAACAAACUAAAACAGUUAGAUAGAUCAACGUGUGUGCGCUAGACGGGCACACACAUUCUAAUUUAAAGAAGCGUGCAUGAUGGUAAUAACGAUCGCGCAAAGUUGUUGGAACAAGACGUGUGUUGACAUUGCCUAUUGCGGUGCACCCUAUGGUGCAAACGGCACGUACGCAGCCGAGAAGGCGUACGUGCCCACGUUACGCCUUUGGGAAUAGUGCCGCACUUAUAACCGUCAGUAAAUUUUGAGCAUGUGUCCCGUCACAUUCCAAAUUGCAAACCUGUUCACACGGAUCAAAACCUAAACGGUUUCCCACUUAGGAGUGUAUUACUACGCGGUUAUAAAUACUACUACUCCAAGAUGACUGCACAUUCCUCCUCAACUCCUCAUCCACAAAAACAAACAAGUCAUUCAUCAUCGUUCCCUUGCGUCCCCCAUGGCCAGCGUGAGUUCUGGGUCGAGAGAUAGCCACCAGGGAGAGGCGAGCCUGGAAGCGAAAGCACGAGAGAUGUCCCGCCUCGCCGCGAAAGCAACCAACAAGUCCCGCGCACGGCUGUAGCAGCAGAGAGGUCCUGCCGCAACACUGAAACAACACAGAGGUCCCCCCGCACCGUUGAUGCAACAGAUUGGUCCAGCCGCGCCGCAGAAGCAGAAGAGAUGUCCCGCCGUGCCGCCAAUGCAGCAUAGAUGUCCUCCCGCGCCGCGGCAGCAUGGGAAAAUGUCUCGCGGGCAAGCGAGGACUCUUAUAGGCGCAUGCAUGCCCUCAUCCUUAGGUAGAUGGAUCAGAUCUCCAGGUGGGUGAUACGUCUCCAACGUAUCUAUAAUUUUUGAUUGCUCCAUGCUAUUAUAUUAUCUAUUUUGGAUGUCAAUGGGCUUUAUUUUACACUUUUAUAUCAUUUGUAGGACGAAAAGGAAUAUCAAACGGAGUCCAAAUGGAAUGAAACCUUCAGGAACGUGAUUUUCUCAACAAACGUGAUCCAGGAGACUUGAAGUGGGCGUCAAGAAACAAUCGAGGAGGCCACGAGGCAGGGGGCGCCUACCCCCUGGGCGCGCCCUCCACCCUCGUGGGACCCUCGUUGCUCCACCGACCUACUUCUUCCUCCUAUAUAUAUCCACGUACCCCCAAACAUCCAGGAGGACCACGAAAACCUAAUUCCACCGCCGCAACCUUCUGUACCCGAGAGAUCCCAUCUUGGGGCCUUUUUCGGAGCUCCGCCGGAGGGGGCAUUGAUCACGGAGGGCCUCUACAUCAACUCCAUGGCCACUCCGGUGAUGUGUGAGUAGUUUACUUCAGACCUACGGGUCCAUAGUUAUUAGCUAGAUGGCUUCUUCUCUCUAUUUGGAUCUCAAUACAAAGUUCUCCUCGAUCUUCUUGGAGAUCUAUUCGAUGUAAUCUUCUUUUGCAAUGUGUUUGUCGAGAUCCAAUGAAUUGUGGGUUUAUGAUCAAGUUUAUCUAUGAACCAUAUUUGAAUCUCCUCUGAAUUAUUUUAUGUAUGAUUGGUUUAUCUUUGCAAGUCUCUUCGAAUUAUCAGUUUGGUUUGGCCUACUAGAUUGAUCUUUCUUGCAAUGGGAGAAGUGCUUAGCUUUGGGUUCAAUCUUGCGGUGUCCUUUCCCAAUGACAACAGGGGCAGCAAGGCAUGUAUUGUAUUGUUGCCAUCGAGGAUAAAAAGAUGGGGUUUAUAUCAUAUUGCAUGAGUUUAUCCCUGUACAUCAUGUCAUCUUACUUAAAGCAUUACUCUCUGUUCUUAUGAACUUAAUACUCUAGAUGCAUGCUGGAUAGCGGUCGAUGUGUGGAGUAAUAAUAGUAGAUGCAGAAUCAUUUUGGUCUACUUGUUGUGGACGUGAUGCCUAUAUACAUGGUCAUACCUAGAUAUUCUCAUAACUAUGCUCAAUUCUAUCAAUUGCUCGACAGUAAUUCGUUUACCCACCGUAAUACUUAUGCUCUUGAGAGAAGCCACUAGUGAAACCUAUGGCCCCCGGGUCUAUCUUCCAUCGUAUUAAUCUUCCAACACUUAGUUAUUUCUAUCACUGUUUACUUUACUUUGCAUCUUUAUUUCUCUUUAUAUCAUAAAAAUAGCAAAAAUAUUAUCUUAUCAUAUCUAUCAGAUCUCACUCUUGUAAGUGACCGUGAAGGGAUUGCCAACCCCUUUAUCGUGUUGGUUGGGAGGUUCUUAUUUGUUUGUGUAGGUGAGUGGGACUCGGGCGUGAUCUCCUACUGGAUUGAUACGUUAGUUCUCAAAAACUGAGGGAAAUACUUACGUUACUUUACUGCAUCACCCUUUCCUCUUCAAGGGAAAACCAACGCAGUGCUCAAGAGGUAGCAACACUACAAAAAAUACACUUCCGUGAUGAUACGUGUUUGUCACAGUAGGUUGCUUUUUUUGUCAUGCAUGUACAUCCAUGACAAAUUUAUGACAGAAUUAAGAUAGUAAUAUCUGUGCUGUCGUAGAAGUGUUCCAUGACAUUACCAAAAUUAUCAUCACGGAAGUGUCCACUUCCAUGACGAUAAAUCGCGCGUCAUAGAAGUGCUUUCGUCAAGGGUGACCGACAUGUGGCAUCCACCGUAAUGGAACGCCGUUAAGCUAUCGGGUCGGGUUUUGGAUCCGAUAACCCGUUAACAGCCCCAACCAAUGGGAAAUUUCCACGUGUACGUGUCAGCUCGUCAGUGGGUCAGAUAGGCGCCUAUGAUACGUCGACACGUGGCACGGCCCAAUAGAGGCCCAUUCCUAUGAAAAGGCCGGCCCGUUUGACUUGGUCAAAAGGUGGCGGGCCGACCAAAGCCUGUUAACGGCCUGUUCGCAUAUAGCCCAUUUACAGCCCGCUAACCCAAGGCCUGUUACGCCCUAUCCGAAUUAGGCCCAAUAGCUUCAUCUGGGCCAUCCAAUAUGAUUCCAGCCCGUUUUCACUUCUGGCCCAUGUAUGGCCCAUGAUGUCUUCCGGCCCAUAUGAGGCCCUAUGUAACUCUUGGCCUAUUAAUGGCCUGUGGUGAAACUGGCCCGUAAUGAACAGUGUAUCACUUUAUACCCAUUAACGACCCGUUAUUCCGUUGGGCCGUUUCCAACCCAUGUUAUCUUUCGGCCUUCUUAGAGCCCAUUUAUUCUUGGGCUCAUUUCCAGCAUUCGUUUACUUACGGCCCGUUACUGUCAUUUUCUGCUAGUGGGCCAAAUUCAGCCUGUAGUUACAGUCGGCCCGUUUGUGGUCCGUUAAUAUGUUGGGUCGUUUUCAUAGAGUUAUCAAAUAUGGCCUAUUAUCGAUGGCCUGUUACGGUCGGCCCAUGAACGGACGAUUCCAACUCUAGCCCAUUUACGGCCAUGAUGCGGCCUGUUAUUGGCCCAUGUUUGGCCAAUUGAUCAUACGGCCCGUAUAAGGCCCAUUGAUGAUAGAGCCCGUAGAAGGCCAUUGUUUCUAUGGCCCAUAGAAGGCCUACUGUUUCUACGGCCCGUAGAAGGCCCACUGUUUCUACGGCCCGUAGGAGGCCCAGUGUCACUACAGUAAAUAUUAGCCCAUGGUUAUUGUGGCCUAGGUUUAAAAAAUAGGUUAUUGCAGCCACUAGUUAACCGCGGAAAAGGAACUGCAAUGACUACAAGCAAACAAAUAAACAAGACAGCAAGGAAAUAAAUAAGCAAGCAACUAAUGCUAGGCUAUCACGGCUAUUACACAUAUUACAUCCACUGGGCAUCAAAGUUCACCACCAGUGCAAACAUAGGGAACAAAGCAGCAUAUCAUAUACACUGGCCGUCAAAAUUGGCCACCAGUGCAAAUAAACAUGGCAGCAAAACAAGAGCAUAACUGAAACAACUUCAGAAGAGCUCAAGAAGCGUUAUCCUGGGUAUCCACCAUGCUGGCAAUAAGCUUAGCAAGCUGAUUAGCUUUGUCCUGUUUGGCGCUAAAAUCCUCCAACGCUUGUUGUUGCACCACAAAAUAUGCAUCUGAAUGCUCCACGGACUUCCGUAGUCCUUCCGCUUCUUGUCGCAGCACAGCUAAACAAUGUCUUUCAGCUUGUAGUUGAGACUCAAGAAACCAAACUAAUUCAGACAGUGAGUUUGAAUAGCUUGUGCAAGCGAUAGUGGCCAGUAACUCCAACACUAAACCAAGACAGGAUGUGUCACUAUCCUGAACCUUAUCUGCAUUACUUCCUUUACCGUUGCUUAAUAAGGCACUCUUCCCCAAUAUUUGUCAGCAUUCUAAAAGAAGAAACAAGCAGACACAUAACAAGUUUAGCAUGUACUAGUAUAUGAAACUCAUUUCGGUGAACCAGUUCAUUAGUAAGGUGGACAUGAUUAAACUACCAAGUCUUCUAUUGCCAAGUACUAGUACAUAAUAAAAGCAUCAAACAAACAUAUAUCUAUGUCCUAUGGUAGCAAUGGAAUCUUAAACUAGAACAGUUGUUCUUCAGGUUUAGGCACUUGUUCUACAUGAACAGAGCACAAUAAGACGCAAGAAUAUAAUACUUAAAAAUAGAAAAUGAGCUCAUAGACCUUACCACAUUCUUGGUUCGGGACCAGUACAGAACAAGGCAUUCCCAGUCAUCGUCCAGUAAAUGUGUCUCACGAGAAUGUAAGGGAAUUUGAUGAGUUUCUUUGCCGGUGAAGUACGUUUUCUUCAGGUAAUUCCGAUACUGCCACCAAGCAUUCUUAAAUAUAGCAGAGGUAUUAGCACAGGUUACCUCAUCCUGAGUUUCCAAAUCGGUCCUUCUCUAUUGAGAAAAAUGGGAAAGUUUGCUGUAUUAUAACCACCAUGGAGGUAGGAUGUAUGGUACGAAGCAAAGUAAUUGUCAUGAAUAACAUUACUUACACAUAACUCCUGGACAAACACCUGCAACUGGCAUUUUCCUUCAUCUUCAGUAUAAUAUUUCCAAGAUGGGAAGAUACGCACAUAUGUUUUAACAACAUCAAAUGCGAUAGAUGCUAAACUAUGACUAGCUGGUUGUGCUUCCUCCACAGGAAUAGGCGUAUUAACUGGUGGAGUUGGGGUUCGCCGUGAUAGUACUGGCCCUUUGGGCACUGGAGCUGCCUUACUAACUGCUCUUGUUUGGGAGCUCUGUGGUGGAGAUGGUGCUGUAUCAACAUGAACUGGGUUACUAUCGGCUGGGGUUGGGGUUAGAUUGGGUGAAGCUGGUUCUCUGUCCAUCGUAGUAGGGGUACAAUCUGCGAGAGUUUGGGUUAUGUGUGGUAGGGCUGGUUCUUGUGCAUGCACAACCGGGGUGCUAUCUCCACCAAGAGGUAGCACUGUUUUAUUUGAAGACCGUGUUUUUAGUCCGCUAGAUACUGGCAUCACCCGCUCCAAUUCAAAUGGCUGAUAAACAGGAAACACAGUUGAAUGUACAGACAUUGUAUAUGAGACAGAUGCAAUAGAUAGUGUGGAAAAAAGAGGGCAUGAAAUAGUUGACAUGUAUAUUGUUUAACUAAAACGGAUAACAUGACAUAAUUUCACAUAUAUGAUGUCUAUCUAAACUGGAUAGCAUAGCAUAACAUAAUUCAAAGAUAUGAUGAAUAACUAAACAGGAUCGCAUGACAUAAUUCACCUACAUGUUAUCUAAGUAAUCAGGAUCGCAUCAUUUAAUUCACAUAUGUGAUUUAUAUGCUAAACAGAGGACAUUCGAUAUGAUGUCUGAACUAAGAACAUGGUGUUGAAUAUUGUGUAUAUGAUGUCUAAACUAUGCAAUACAAGACACCGUAUGCAUGAUAUGAGUAGUAUAACCGUGCCAAGUUAGAGCAUACACCUCAGUGGGAGAAUAGGACUGGCCAUCUGUCUUUGAAUCCAUCUCUGAGAAGCUAUCGGGACCCAACAAGAGAUCUGCUUUGACAGGUAGCACUGUCUGCUCUGAAGGCCUUGUUUUCACUCCAGAUUUUUCCAUCUCCAACCCAAAUGGCUGAUUCACAGGAAGAGUAGUUUAAUAUACAAACAUUGUCGGCAAAUGGAAAUGUAAUGAAGAUAACAUUGUCGGCAAGAUAUAAUUCAAAUACAUGAUGCCUGGUUAAACAGGAUGGCAUUGCACAUUUCACAUAUAUUAUGGCUGGCUAAAAGACAUGAGACUGCAUAAUUCCCAUAUAUGAUAUAGAAACUAAACAGGUGGCAUUACAGAACAUGUCUAAACUAAGUAGAUGACAUAUAUGAUGUCAAAAGUAGGCACCGCAAGGCAACAUAUGCAUGAUAUUGUUGGGGAACGUUGCAGAAAACAAAAUUUUCCUACGGUUUCACCAAGAUCCAUCUAUGAGUUCAUCUAGCAACAAGUGAUUGGAUUGCAUCUACAUACCUUUGUAGAUCACGCGCGGAAGCGUUCAAAGAACGGGGAUGAGGAAGUCGUACUCGAUGUGAUCCAAAUCAUCGGAGAUCCUAGCGCCGAACGGACGGCACCUCUGCGUUCAACACACGUACGGUCAGCAUAACGUCUCCUCCUUCUUGAUCCAGCAAGGGGGAAGGAGAGGUUGAUGAUGAUCCAGCAGCACGACAGCGUGGUGCUGGAUGCAGGGCGUCACAGUAGCAGGGCUUCGCCGUAUACUACGAGAGAGAGGUGUAGCAGGGGAGAGGGAGGCGCCAAGACUCAAGGUUAGGAUGCCCCCCUCCCUCCCCCCCUUUAUAUAUAGGCUCCCCUAGGGGGGCACCGGCCCUAGGAGAUGAGAUCUCCUGGGGGGCGGCGGCCAGGGCUGGAGUAGCCCCCAAGGCAAGGUGGGGUGCCCCCCCACCCCUAGGGUUCCAACCCUAGGCGCACGGGGUAGGCCUAGGGGGCGCACCAACCCACUAUGGGCUGGUUCCCCUCCCCACUUUGGCCCAUGGGGCCCUCCGGGAUGGGUGGCCCCACCCGGUGGACCCCCGGGACCCUUCCGGUGGUCCCGGUACAAUACCGGUGAUCCCGAAACUUGUCCCGAUGGCCGAAACAGCACUUCAUAUAUAUAAUUCUUUACCUCCAGACCAUUCCGAAACUCCUCGUGACGUCCGGGAUCUCAUCUUGGACUCCGAACAACAUUCGGGUUACUGCAUAUACAUAUCUUUACAACCCUAGCGUCAUCGAAUCUUAAGUGUGUAGACCCUACGGGUUCGGGAGACAUGUAGACAUGACCGAAACGACUCUCCGGUCAAUAACCAAUAGCGGGAUCUGGAUACCCAUGUUGGCUCCCACAUGCUCCUCAAUGAUCUCAUCGGAUGAACCACGAUGUCGACGAUUCAAGCAACCCCGUAUUCAAUUCCCUUUGUCAAUCGGUAUGUUACUUGCCCGAGAUUCGAUCGUCGGUAUCCCAAUCCCUUGUUCAAUCUCGUUACCGGCAAGUCACUUUACACGUACCGUAAUGCAUGAUCCCGUGACCAGACACUUGGUCACUUUGAGCUCAUAAUGAUGAUGCAUUACCGAGUGGGCCCAGUGAUACCUCUCCGUCAUACAGAGCGACAAAUCCCAGUCUUGAUCCGUGUCAACCCAACAGACACUUUCGAAGAUACCCGUAGUAUACCUUUAUUGUCACCCAGUUACAUUGUGACGUUCGGUACACCCAAAGCACUCCUACAGUAUCCGGGAGUUACACGAUCUCAUGGACUAAGGAAAGGAUACUUGACAUUGGAAAAACUCUAGCAAACGAACUAUACGAUCUUGUGCUAUGUUUAGGAUUGGGUCUUGUCCAUCACAUCAUUCUCCUAAUGAUGUGAUCUCGUUAUCAAUGACAUCCAAUGUCCAUAGUCAGGAAACCAUGACUAUCUGUUGAUCAACGAGCUAGUCAACUAGAGGCUUACUAGGGACAUGUUGGUGUCUAUUAUUCACACAUGUAUUACGAUUUCCGGAUAACACAAUUAUAGCAUGAAUAAAGACGAUUAUCAUGAACAAGGAAAUAUAAUAAUAAUGCUUUUAUUAUUGCCUCUAGGGCAUAUUUCCAACAGUCUCCCACUUGCACUAGAGUCAAUAAUCUAGUUACAUUGUGAUGAAUCGAACACCCAUGGAAUUCUGGUGUUGAUCAUGUUUUGCUCUAGGGAGAGGUUUAGUCAACGGAUCUGCUACAUUCAGGUCCGUAUGUACUUUAAAAAUAUCUAUGUCUCCAUCUUGAACAUUUUCACGAAUGGAGUUGAAGCGACGCUUGAUGUGCCUUGUCUUCUUGUGAAACCUGGGCUCCUUGGCAAGUGCAAUAGCUCCAGUGUUGUCACAGAAGAGCUUGAUCGGCCCCGACACAUUGGGUAUGACUCCUAGGUCGGUGAUGAACUCCUUCACCCAAAUUGCUUCAUGUGCUGCCUCCGAGGCUGCCAUGUACUCCGCUUCACAUGUAGAUCCCGCCACGAUGCUCUGCUUGCAACUGCACCAGCUUACUGCCCCACCAUUCAAAAUAUACACGUAUCCGUUUUGUGACUUAGAGUCAUCCAGAUCUGUGUCGAAGCUAGCAUCGACGUAACCCUUUACGACGAGCUCUUCAUCACCUCCAUAAACGAGAAACACUUCCUUAGUCCUUUUCAGGUACUUCAGGAUAUUCUUGACCGAUGUCCAGUGUUCCUUGCCGGGAUUACUUUGGUACCUUCCUACCAAACUUACGACAAGGUUUACAUCAGGUCUGGUACACGGCAUGGCAUACAUAAUAGAACCUAUGGCUGAGGCAUAGGGGAUGACACUCAUCUCUUCUAUAUCUUCUGUCGUGGUCGGACAUUGAGCUGAGCUCAAUUUCACACCUUGCAACACAGGCAAGAACCCCUUCUUAGACUGAUCCAUAUUGAACUUCUUCAAUAUCUUAUCAAGGUAUGUGCUUUGUGAAAGACCUAUGAGGCGUCUUGAUCUAUCUCUAUAGAUCUUGAUGCCUAAUAUAUAAGCAGCUUCUCGAAGGUCCUUCAUUGAAAAACUCUUAUUCAAGGAGGCCUUAAUGUUGUCCAAGAGUUCUAUAUCAUUUCCCAUCAAAAGUAUGUCAUCUACAUAUUAUAUGAGAAAUGCUACAGAGCUCCCACUCACUUUCUUGUAAAUGCAUGCUUCUCCAUAAGUCUAUGUAAACCCAAACGCUUUGAUCAUCUCAUCAAAGCGAAUGUUCCAACUCCGAGAUGCUUGCACCAGCCCAUAAAUCGAGCGUUGGAGCUUGCACACCUUGUCAGCAUUCUUAGGAUCGACAAAACCUUCCGGCUGCAUCAUAUACAAUUCUUCCUUAAGGAAACCAUUAAGGAAUGCCGUUUUGACGUCCAUUUGCCAUAUCUCAUAAUCAUAGUAUGCGGCAAUUGCUAACAUAAUUCGGACGGACUUCAGCUUCGCUACCGGUGAGAAAGUCUCAUCAUAGUCAACCCCUUGAACUUGUCGAUAACCCUUAGCGACAAGCCGAGCUUUAUAGAUGGUCACAUUACCAUCCGCGUAUGUCUUCUUCUUAAAGAUCCAUUUAUUUUCUAUGGCUCGCCGCUCAACGGGCAAGUCAGUCAAAGUCCAUACUUCGUUUUCAUACAUGGAUCCUAUCUCGGAUUUCAUGGCUUCCAGCCAUUUGUCAGAAUCCGGGCCCGCCAUCGCUUCUUCAUAGUUCGAAGGUUCACCGUUGUCUAACAACAUGAUUUCCAAGACAGGGUUGCCGUACCACUCUGGUGCGGAAUGUGUCCUUGUGGACCUACAAAUUUCAGUAGGAGCUUGAUCAGAAGUAUCUUGAUCAUUAUCAUGAACUUCCUCUCUAUUCGGUGCAGGCACCUCAGGAACAUUUUCUUGAGUUGCGCCCUUUUCCGGUUCAAGAGGUAAUACUUCAUCAAGUUCUACUUUCCUCCCACUUACUUCUUUCAAGAGAAACUCUUUCUCUAGAAAGGAUCCAUUCUUGGCAACAAAGAUCUUGCCUUCGGAUCUGAGGUAGAAGGUAUACCCAAUAGUUUCUUUAGGGUAUCCUAUGAAGGUGCAUUUUUCCGACUUGGGUUCGAGCUUUUCAGGUUGAAGUUUCUUGACAUAAGCAUCGCAUCCCCAAACUUUUAGAAACGACAGCUUAGGUUUCUUCCCAAACCAUAAUUCAUACGGUGUCGUCUCAACGGAUUUUGACGGAGCCCUAUUUAAAGUGAAUGCGGCAGUCUCUAAAGCAUAGCCCCAAAAAGAUAGCGGUAAAUCGAUAAGAGACAUCAUAGAUCGCACCAUAUCUAAUAGAGUGCGAUUACGACGUUCAGACACACCAUUACGCUGAGGUGUUCCAGGCGGCGUGAGUUGUGAAACUAUUCCACAUUUUCUUAAGUGUGUGCCAAAUUCGUGACUCAAGUAUUCUCCUCCACGAUCUGAUCAUAGAAACUUGAUUUUUCUGUCACGUUGAUUUUCAACCUCACUCUAAAAUUCCUUGAACUUUUCAAAGGUCUCAGACUUGUGUUUCAUCAAAUAGAUAUACCCAUAUCUACUCAAGUCAUCAGUGAGGGUGAGAACAUAACGAUAGCCAUCGCGAGCCUCAACACUCAUUGGACCGCACACAUCAGUAUGUAUGAUUUCCAAUAAGUUGGUUGCUCGCUCCAUUGUUCCUGAGAACGGAGUCUUGGUCAUUUUACCCAUGAGGCAUGGUUCGCACGUGUCAAAUGAUUCGUAAUCAAGAGACUCUAAAAGUCCAUCUGUAUGGAGCUUCUUCAUGCGUUUGACACAUAUGUGACCAAGGCGGCAGUGCCACAAGUAUGUGGGACUAUCAUUAUCAACCUUACAUCUUUUGGUACUCACACUAUGAAUAUGUGUAGCAAUACGCUCGAGAUUCAUUAAGAAUAAACCAUUCACCAUCGGAGCAUGACCAUAAAACAUAUCUCUCAUAUAAAUAGAACAACCAUUAUUCUCGGAUUUAAAUGAGUAGCCAUCUCGAAUUAAACGAGAUCCCGAUACAAUGUUCAUGCUCAAAGCUGGCACUAAAUAACAAUUAUUGAGGUUUAAAACUAAUCCCGUAGGUAAAUGUAGAGGUAGCGUGCCGACGGCGAUCAUAUCGACCUUGGAACCAUUCCCGACUCGCAUCGUCACCUCGUCCUUCGCCAGUCUCCGCUUAUUCCGAAGCUCCUGCUUUGAGUUACAAAUGUGAGCAACUGCACCGGUAUCAAAUACCCAGGAGCUAUUACGAGUACUGGUAAGGUACACAUCAAUUACAUGUAUAUCACAUAUACCUUUCGUUUUGCCGGCCUUCUUGUCCGCUAAGUAUUUGGGGCAGUUCCGCUUCCAGUGACCACUUUCCUUGCAAUAAAAGCACUCAGUCUCGGGCUUGGGUCCAUUCUUUGGCUUCUUCCCAGCAGCUUGCUUGCCGGGCGCGGAAACUCCCUUGCCGUCCUUCUUGAAGUUCUUUUUACCCUUGCCCUUCUUGAACUUAGUGGUUUUAUUGACCAUCAACACUUGAUGUUCCUUCUUGACUUCUACCUCUGCUGAUUUCAGCAUAGCAAAUACUUCAGGAAUGGUCUUUUCCAUCCCCUGCAUAUUGAAGUUCAUCACAAAGCUCUUGUAGCUCGGUGGAAGCGGCUGAAGGAUGCUGUCAAUGACCGCGUCAUUUGGGAGAUUAACUCCCGGCUGAGUCAAGCGGUUAUGUAACCCAGACAUAGUGAGUAUGUGCUCACUGACAGAACUAUUUUCCUCCAUCUUACAGCUGAAGAAUUUGUCGGAGACUUCAUAUCUCUCGACCCGGGCAUGAGCUUGAAAAACCAUUUUCAGCUCUUCGAACAUCUCAUAUGCUCCAUGUCUCUCAAAACGCUUUUGGAGCCCCGGCUCUAAGCUGUAAAGCAUGCUGCACUGAACGAGGGAGUAGUCAUCGGUACGUGCCUGCCAAGCGUUCAUAACGUCUUGUUCUGCAGGGAGAACAGGUGCGUCACCCAGCGGUGCUUGUAGGACAUAAUCUUUCUUCGCAGCUAUGAGGAUGAUCCUCAGGUUUCGGACCCAGUCCGUAUAGUUGCUACCAUCGUCUUUCAGCUUGGUUUUCUCUAGGAACGCGUUGAAGUUGAGGACUACGUUGGCCAUUUGAUCUACAAGACAUAUUGUAAAUAUUUUAGACUAAGUUCAUGAUAAUUAAGUUCAUCUAAUCAAAUUAUUCAAUGAACUCCCACUUAGAUAGACAUCCCUCCUGUCAUCUAAGUAUAACAUGAUCAGAGUUAACUAGGCCGUGUCCGAUCAUCACGUGAGACGGACUAGUCAACAUCGGUGAACAUCUUCAUGUUGACCGUAUCUUCUAUACGACUCAUGCUCGACCUUUCGGUCUUCUAUGAUCCGAGGCCAUGUCUGUACAUGCUAGGCUCGUCAAGUCAACCUAAGUGUUUGCAUGUGUAAAUCUGUCUUACACCCGUUGUAUGUGAAUGUUAGAAUCUAUCACACCCGAUCAUCACGUGGUGCUUCGAAACAACGAACUGUCGCAACGGUGCACAGUUAGGGGGAACACUUUCUUGAAAUUAUUAUGAGGGAUCAUCUUAUUUACUACCGUCGUUCUAAGUAAACAAGAUGCAAAAACAUGAUAAACAUCACAUGCAAUCAAAUAAUAAAAGUGACAUGAUAUGGCCAAUAUCACAUAGCUCCUUUGAUCUCCAUCUUGGGGCUCCAUGAUCAUCUUGUCACCGGCAUGACACCAUGAUCUCCAUCAUCAUGAUCUCCAUCAUCGUGUCUCCAUGAAGUUGCUUGCCAACUAUUACUUCUACUACUACGGCUAACGCGUUUAGCAAUAAAGUAAAGUAAUUUACAUGGCGUUUCUCAAUGACACGCAGGUCAUACAAAAAAUAAAGACAACUCCUAUGGCUCCUGCCGGUUGUCAUACUCAUUGACAUGCAAGUCGUGAUUCCUAUUACAAUAGCAUGAACAUCUCAUACAUCACAUAUAUAUCAUUCAUCAUUCAUCACAACUUUGGCCAUAUCAUAUCACAAAGCACUUGCUGCAAAAACAAGUUAGACGUUCUCUAAUUGUUGUUGCAAGUUUUACGUGGCUGCAAUAGGGUUCUAGAAAGAACGUUUUCUUACCUACGUGAAAGCCACAACGUGAUUUGUCAACUUCUAUUUACCCUUCAUAAGGACCCUGUUCAUCGAAUCCGCUCCAACUAAAGUAGGAGAGACAGACACCCGCCAGCCACCUUAUGCAACUAGUACAUGUUAGUCGGUGGAACCGGUCUCACGUAAGAUAAGACUAGUAGCGGCAAGAAAGUUGACAACAUCUACGCCCACAACAAAUUGUGUUCUACUUGCGCAAGAAGAACUACGCAUAGACCUAGCUCAUGAUGCCACUGUUGGGGAACGUUGCAGAAAACAAAAUUUUCCUACGGUUUCACCAAGAUCCAUCUAUGAGUUCAUCUAGCAACGAGUGAUUGGAUUGCAUCUACAUACCUUUGUAGAUCACGCGUGGAAGCGUUCAAAGAACGGGGAUGAGGAAGUCGUACUCGACGUGAUCCAAAUCACCGGAGAUCCUAGCGCCGAAUAGACGGCACCUCCGCGUUCAACACACGUACGGUCAGCGUAACGUCUCCUCCUUCUUGAUCCAGCAAGGGGGAAGGAGAGGUUGAUGAAGAUCCAGCAGCACGAUGGCGUGGUGCUGGAUGCAGGGCGUCACAGUAGCAGGGCUUCGCCGUAUACUACAAGAGAGAGGUGUAGCAGGGGAGAGGGAGGCGCCAAGACUCAAGGUUAGGCUGCCCCCCUCCCUCCCCCCCUUUAUAUAUAGGCUCCCCUAGGGGGGCACCGGCCCUAGGAGAUGAGAUCUCCUAGGGGGGGGCGGCGGCCAGGGCUGGAGUAGCCCCCAAGGCAAGGUGGGGCGCCCCCCCACCCCUAGGGUUCCAACCCUAGGCGCAUGGGGUGGGCCUAGGGGGUGCACCAGCCCACUAUGGGCUGGUUCCCCUCCCCACUUUGGCCCAUGGGGCCCUCCGGGAUGGGUGGCCCCACCCGGUGGACCCCCGGGACCCUUCCGGUGGUCCCGGUACAAUACCGGUGAUCCCGAAACUUGUCCCGAUGGCCGAAACAGCACUUCCUAUAUAUAAUUCUUUACCUCCGGACCAUUCCGAAACUCCUCGUGACGUCCGGGAUCUCAUCCGGGACUCCGAACAACAUUUGGGUUACUGCAUAUACAUAUCUUUACAACCCUAGCGUCACCGAACCUUAAGUGUGUAGACCCUACGGGUUCGGGAGACAUGUAGACAUGACCGAGAUGACUCUCCGGUCAAUAACCAACAGCGGGAUCUGGAUACCCAUGUUGGCUCCCACAUGCUCCUCGAUGAUCUCAUCGGAUGAACCACAAUGUCGAGGAUUCAAGCAACCCCGUAUUCAAUUCCCUUUGUCAAUCGGUAUGUUACUUGCCCGAGAUUCGAUCGUCGGUAUCCCAAUACCUUGUUCAAUCUCGUUACCGGCAAGUCACUUUACUCGUACCGUAAUGCAUGAUCCCGUGACCAGACACUUGGUCAUUUUGAGCUCAUAAUGAUGAUGCAUUACCGAGUGGGCCCAGUGAUACCUCUCCAUCAUACGGAGCGACAAAUCCUAGUCUUGAUCCGUGUCAACCCAACAGACACUUUCGGAGAUACCCGUAGUAUACCUUUAUUGUCACCCAGUUACGUUGUGACGUUUGGUACAGCCAAAGCACUCCUACGGUAUCCGGGAGUUACACGAUCUCAUGGUGUAAGGAAAGGAUACUUGACAUUGGAAAAACUCUAGCAAACGAACUAUACGAUCUUGUGCUAUGUUUAGGAUUGGGUCUUAUCCAUCACAUCAUUCUCCUAAUGAUGUGAUCUCGUUAUCAAUGACAUCCAAUGUCCAUAGUUAGGAAUCCAUGACUAUCUGUUAAUCAACGAGCUAGUCAACUAGAGGCUUACUAGGGACAUGUUGGUGUCUAUUAUUCACACAUGUAUUACGAUUUCCGGAUAACACAAUUAUAGCAUGAAUAAAGACGAUUAUCAUGAACAAGGAAAUAUAAUAAUAAUGCUUUUAUUAUUGCCUCUAGGGCAUAUUUCCAACAGAUAUAACUAACAUCAUCAUGCCAAGGUAGAGCAAACACCUUGGGGGGUAAAUAGGAGUGGUCAGCGGCGUCCGAAUCCGCCUCAGAACAGAUAUCUUCCUCUGGAUUACAAUCUGGAGAGGGGUGGGGAGGGUUUGCCAUUGAACCCACCAUGGAGCGAUGUCUGCAUGACAUUGUAUUGCCGCGCAAAACUCUUCUCUUUUUCUCUACAUGUUCAGCAUGACUAUGUACAAUAUCUGACAUGCAUACAAAAAAAUAUGGUGAGAUUAUGUAAGGAGAGCAUGCAGAAAUUUAGAGUGAUGGUAACAACCAGUGGAUCGAUGUUUUUCCGUUGAACCAAAAUAGCCCUAAUGGAUCGACAUGAAUGUAUAGUAAUAAGUGAUGCAACAAAUGUACAACCUCUUUGCCGUAGCCGUGUCGACCUCAGCAUCAUUGGGUUGGUCGCUGAAGCAGUUGAGGCAGAGGUGGCUGUCAGAGGUGUGGAGGAAGAUCUGAGGAAUCUGUUGACGGCGUCCAGGGCACUGCUCUGUUGUGAUGUUUUGUUCUGUCGUUGGAGCAGCUCCGGUGAGCCGUAAGACGUCAAGGCUGAAGCAGCACAAGACAGACAUCGUCAAUCUCAAGUGGGAAUAGCAUCUCCAAUAGAUGAUGUAAAAUGGAUGUAAAAUAAACAUCACCAAAAACCACCUGACUACAACAAAUGAGGUAAAAACUGUUGACUCUGAACUUAACUGUCAAAACUGAAAUUUACUGUGGAAUCUGAAUGCUACUGUCGAAACUGAACGCAAUGGUAGCAGAGAGGCACUUGACAUGUAGUUUAGGGAGGGCCUGUAGUUCAUCUUCAACCUGCACCCCCCUGAGCCGCCAGCCACCACCGGCCGAACCGCCGGCCCCAGCGCCGCCUCGGCGCCCCGAAACAACUCGCCACCGCCGCCCCGGCCAGCCCUCUAGGCCCCCCGCCCCCCACCCGGAACCCUAAGAUAGAUAGUGGGGUACCUCUCCGGCGAGCCCCCAUCCCCACUGUGGGUGGUUCUUCCUUAACUCCAGCGAGCCCCCCAACCCCUGAAAAUCGACUGACCCAAAAGUCAAUUCAGUCGACUGAAGUGUGGCUUAAUCGGAGCAGAGCAACAACACGAGCGAGGGGGAGAGCAGCAAAACCAGCUGGGCGAGCGAGCGAUCGAGCGAGAGCCGGAGCAGCAGCAGUAGAUCCGGCUGGUAUGGACGCUGCUGCCAAAGGGGCCUCGCACUGGGGGAGAGCCGCCGUGGAGAUGUCGCCCGCAGCGCUAGCUUCAAGGUAGCCGCUCCAUGAGGGUGCGGGAUGGAGCACCGUUGGCGCCGGGAGGUCGAGUUAAGGAGAAGGUGCGAUGCGAUGAGUGUACAACCUCUUUGGUGGCGCCGAGUAGGCCUCGGCUUCAUCCGAGGAGUCGGUGAGGAUGCUACGGUUUCGGUGGAGCAGGUUAAGGCGGCGCUGUGGGGAUGGAGCAACCACGAUAGACGAGACGAUCGUCGGAGCAGCUCCUUGGAGGUGGAGGACGGGGCAGCUGAACCGGCGGGACGGCGAGAUGGACGACGGAUCCUCAUCCGGGGAGGUGGAAGAGGGACGUCGAGCUGUUGCGGUGGACGACAUCGUCGGGGAAGAGGCUCCGGUUGGGUAGCGGUGACGUGGCGGACGAAGGAGGGUGGGGUUUCGUGGCUGGAGCGGAGAGUCUAUGGCGGCCUGGGAUUUCGCAUGGCGAAAAGGGGGCGAUGGGAGGGGGUGAAGCAUGACUUAGGAACGCGCUUGUCCAAAAUGUAGGGUGUGUUACAAAAGUACCCCCCCCCACCGAUUUGAACUAGCGGCCCUUUCGGCGCAGGGUCAGAAGGGGGAUUUCGCGUGUCGGGAUUUGGCAGCUGGAGGGAGUUUUCGCGCGCGUUGUAAUUUCGGGAUAGCAAGGCGCGGGUUGUGAAGGCGCCAGUUUUGGGAGCAUGAUAUCUGAAUUUUCGGGAUAUAACAAGACGCGGGUUGAAUUUUAGGGACAAGCCUAACGUGUAGUAAUAUUGUACUUGUACAUACCAAAUCAAUUCACACUUCCCUCAACCAAAAAGAAAACGAAAAAAAUAAAACUAUUCACACCACACAAAGAGAGAGUCUUGCCCCGUUUUACUAUACAAAUGCUAUUCAAAGCUACUCCCUCCUUCCAUCUAUAUAGGGCCUAAUGCGUUUUUCGAUGCUAACUUUGACCAAAUAUUAGAGCAAUGAUAUAUGACAUGCAACUUACACAAAGCACACCGUUAAAUUCGUCUGUGAAAGGUUUUUCAAUGAUAUAAUUUUCACAUUGUGCAUGUCAUGUACUAUUAAUCUUGUUAAUAGUCAAAGGCGGUCUUAAAAAUCUCAUUACGCCCUAUAUAGAUGGAAGGAGGGACUAUGAAUCCAUGUUAUGUCUGAUUAAAUUUUUUCGCUUGCUGUAUAAUGCAUGUAACCUACUCAUCCAACAUGUUAGUGCAUUCCAAAUGUCUAUACGACCGCUGCAAUUCGAACUAAAUUUGAAUUCGUUUCUCUAUUUCAAUAAGAAUCUACAAUCAUGAUUGUUGCAAACUUCAACCAUCAUAGUUUCCUUGCUAUCCGCCAGAUAUAAAUCAGACGGCCUAUAAUGCAGGAUGGCAGGCACACCAUCAUCAACAACUCUGUUUUUUUAUAAGAGUAGAGAUAAAAUAUAUUAAAUGUAGUAUACCAUGUUCAUAACCACACCAUGUGUAUCACCGUUAUAUAUAUUCACACAUCCGUCGGUUUGAAACACUAUGAUAAAUUCUUCAAAUAUCCGAAUUCGCUUUUUAUAAUGAAGUAUAUAUGAUCUCUAUUCGGCUUUUACACCCACACAACCCACUUAUCUUUGUAGCUAGCGCUAACUUUCUCUUGUGCAUGCACACGCCCGCAUCCCUCUCACCGUCCCUCAGCAUUCUCUAGCUCCAUCGUUAAAAUUCGUCUUUUCACUUUAGGUCGUUCACCCACGGUGUGUGUAGGCCCCCCAGCUCCUUCUUUACGGCACACAUCGAUCGAUAUGCCUCUCUAGCCCGGUGUGCCUAGCACAAACACAAGCUUCCCCUCUUCUCUUUUCACCGUCCAUGCCUCACUCCCACCACUCUUUUCAUCGUUCUCGUACUCACACACUCCUCCCCCUCGAUAUAGUAUGCCUCUCGUACCACCUCCUACAUGCAUCCCUCCCUCUCUCUAUCCUUCUCCUCGUGCCUCAUUUGCUUCUAACACACAGAUGCAUGUAUACUGAUCGAUCUCCCACCAUAUACCUAGAUCGACUUUAACUACCCCCCAUCGAUCGACGUACCUCAAAAGUUAUGUCUCUCCUUUCUCUUACAAAGGGCGAUUGAUCUUCCUAUGUAGUUACAUCUGCUUACCACAGCCACAUCGCCCCCUCAUCAUUCGUGCAUGCCUCCUGACCCGUCUCUCACUCGCACGUGCACAGACAACAAGCAGCCAUCUCCUCUCUUAUUGAUAUUGCAGGCGUGCCCUCCGUUUGUCUAGCAAGCCUAUCCCACCAUUUGUUAGAAGCAACUCCACUACCACCCCCUCCAACACUCUAGCUCUGUCUCUCUCCCAACCUUAUUCAUCUCCUGCACAUAUGCAUGGAUGCCGAUCGAUCUCCCUUAAUACAUGAGGCAGAUCGAUCUCCUUAAUACAGGAGGUAGGCCUCUCUCCUCCUCCACACAUAUACCAACCAUUGUACCUCUAUAGUUAAUUGGGCCUCCCUCUUCCCCCACCACACACCGAUAGUCGAGCGCUGCAGGUAGGUAUCCAUGCCACAGAGACAAACUGCACAUGUCCCAUCUCACGUUCCAAUAGGCCAGCCACUCUAUAUCUUUGACGUGGGCACACACAAAUUCGAUGGCACUCUUUAUCGAUCGCGCGCGCACACACACACACACAUCAUCCCUCUCUUCGAUUCUAUGGACACCUCAAGCCGAUGAUACCUCCACUCUCUUCUCGUGGAUCGCCCCCUCUAUAUAUAUGUUAUAUCCAGGACUCUAUUUCACACACAUUGCAUAUGUUACAUUUUUUNNNNNNNNNNNNNNNNNNNNNNNNNNNNNNNNNNNNNNNNNNNNNNNNNNNUCUCUCUAGGUUUGUAUCUCUCUCACACAACCCCACAUAGGUGGUGUACAUAUACAAGAAGAGAAUAGGUGCACCGUGCACGUACUCACGCUUCGUGCGCAGCCACACCCGCGCGGGUACACGGUGGAGCUCAUUUCUUUACGAAAUGGCAGCCCAUGUGCUAAUUUGAACGCUUGUAGCAGUUGUUUACCUAGGGAGGUCAUGUACCACGCGUGCAUGAAACAAAGUUCGACUUGACGCGUUGCCACAUUAUUUUUAAAUAAAGUUAUAGCGCUCAAUGGCACGUACACAGAAUAUAAAACGAUUUUUAUGGAGGAAAAGGUAGUCCGCUCUUCAGAGUAUCUCACACAAGGCUCCGAUGGGCUCUCUCUCUCUCUCUCACCAUUGGUCACUGAUCCGGCCACAUCCCGUCCGCCGGGGGAAGGGAGUGCGGUGGCCUCUCUCUCUCUCACCGUUGGUCACUGAUCCGGCCGCAUCCCGUCCGCCGAGGGAAAGGGAGUGCGGUGGCCUCUCUCUCUCUCUCUCUCACCGUUGGUCACUGAUCCGGCCGCAUCCCAUCCGCUGGGGGAAAGGAAGGAAGUGCAUCGUUUCUCCGUUCGAUGGCGCCGAGGCAGCACGUCCUGAUCUGCGGUACACGCCGUUCUCUCUGACCAAGCUCCGGUGCGGCAGGGCCUACACCACCUAAUCGCAGAUUCCGCCCGCCGCCGCUCACCUAGUUACAUCCCGAUGACCUCCAGGUAUCCCCUCCGGCCUUGCUCCACUGCCCGUUUUCCCACGUUGCUGCAUGUGGAUCUUCCAUAGUUCUUUGCCCAAAACGUAGCUCGUCCGGCGUACUUUCCAUAUCGCAUUCUUGUCCUGACACCGUUUUAGACAAACACAACCGUGUUGUCAUCUUCCCUUAGGACAAGGAAUAUGCUUCUUUUUUGUCGUCGCAUGUGUCAUCAACUGUUAUUGGCCAGUAAGUGUUUCCUUUCUACCUCUUUUUUGCAAACAGGGCUAUCCAUUUCACGCCAUUGCUAUUGCGACCUUUUGGUGAACUGCACAAAUCACUUUUUUCUUAAGAGUGUUUUGUGCAGUUGUACUAAAAUGUCACACGGGCAACGUCUCUACAUUUCAGUGCGACUGCACAAAGGGAGAUUGGUUUUGCUCUAUCCUCCUCAUCCAACUCUGAGCCUAAUCUUCUCCAACUAGUUAGUCUUAAGAGAGACUGCAAAGGUGACCGGCUUCUAUUUGUGUGUUUAUUGUUUCAUCAGCAGUCCUCUAUUAUCGUAAUCACACUUGAUAUCUUUGGAAUAGGGACGCUCAGCUCUAUUUUAGUGGAACUGCACAAAAUGAUCGGAAUGUUGCAUGCUCCAAACAGCUACUUUUUUCCCAACAUGCCUUGUUGAUUUAGACAGAGCUGGGGGACGUUGCUGCCAAUGAAAGCAUGGAUCAAUUUUAAUUUAACACCUUCUCACAACUUUGUCUUCAGUUGUGAUGUAAUUAUUAGCUCUGAUCUGCUAAUAAUUGACAUGCAUUAGCAAGGAAAAUUAUUGUUUCUGAAAGAGCAUCGAUGGCAAGACACGCGAAACAAAAGCUGAAAGCUCACACCAUUGUACAAUGUCAUGUCGCUGGAAAAUUAUUUGUAUAGUACGUCAAUUAUGUAAACAAAUGAUGGAAGCUUGAUAGCAUUGCCAGAAGCCUCUUCAUCAUCCGGGUCCAUGUGCCAUGCACAAAAUUAUACUCCUUCGUUCCUAAAUAUUUGUCUUUUUACAAAUUUCAAACGGGAAUAUUUUAGAGUGUAGAUUCACUCAUUUUGCUUCAUAUAUGUACUCGCUCCGUUCCUAAAUAUUCUAUUCGUCUUAACAGAGAUUUCAACAAGUGACUACAUACGGAGCAAAAUGAGUGAAUCUGCACUCUAAAAUAUGUCUAUAUACAUCCGUAUGUGCCAGUCCAUUUGAAAUCUCUAAAAAGACAAAUAUUUGAGUAGUCACUCAUUGAAAUCUCUAGAAAGACAAAUACUCCAGAGUAUAUUUAAGAACCCAGGGGGUAGUGCACAACCGCAUGGGAGACUCAGCCCGGUUGUUGCGCCGCAUUAAUAGUGAGUAAUGAGCAGUCAAAUCAUAAGCCCCACCUUUCCCACUGUAAGUUGCUCUGAAGAAGCAACCAUCAAUACUCUCUUCUUUGAAUCCGCUCAUACUACUCCAUCUGUCACUGUUUAUACAGCACGCUUCAGAAAAAAGAAAAAAAAUCUAUGGGACCAAGGAGACUAGCGAUCGGCCUGAAAAAUAGCAUUGGUAGUUAUAGCACGGCGUCUAUUACUAGAGGGAAUAAUGCAUACACACAUGCAUGCAGUGCUUCCACCCCGGGUACACACAUGCAUGCACUCCGUAGUAGUACAGUACAUGGAGAGAAAAUUGUGGACUUGAUUGCGGUUACCACACCCUAAUUAAUUGAGCAUUAAACCAAACGCAUCUAAAGUCUCUGUGGUGGUGGAAAUGCAUUGAGAGAAAUGCAUCAUAAUGAAGCGCGCCCUGUAAACUGUGAUGGAGGGUGGAGUAGUAUGAAGGUGCAAAACCAAGUACGCGUACUACUGCGCUUGGCUCUUCGCCCCUUUGUGAAAUCGAACAAUGAUGGUACUCCGCAUGUUGGGUACUACAGUGUAGGACUUUGCCUCUAACAAUCUGACACCGAAUGGACUGAUGCAUGUCCACCGAGGGUAGGUUGCAUUAGUCAAAAGGCGUAAGCGAGCUUCACCUUGUCCUGCAAGCUUCUCCUCAUUCUGCGAGUUGACGGGACACACCAAAAAGUAGUGCCAGUCCAUACUCCCUCCUUUUCGGUUAAUAUGGCUUAAUCUUUUUGCGGGUAAAUGAGAGAGCUUUAUUCAUAUAUAAGCAUUCUUAGGACGAUCAUCCAAGACACUGGUCACUAGGAAGCGAGGUACCCCGCAAAAAAGGAAGUAGGAAGCGAGGUGUUUCAUCAAGCCAACUCUCGGCCACAUUUAAAGUGCAGCAAGCACGGUUCGCACGAAGAUGCGCCGCAAGGUUUGCUGACCUACUUAAAUGCUGAAUAACAAAAAAAGAGGAAAUAUUACCGAGCACUACUAUUUGUAACAGGAUAUGAGCCUGAAUUAAGCGAGAAUUGUGGCGAGUGUUGCAUGCAAUCAACUUCCAUUAUCACAUGCGAGAACCCUAGAAGAUAACCAAAUGUGUUGAAGAUUGCUUUAUCACAUUUUAAAAUUAUAAUAAGAGUGAAGACGCUCCUCCAUCCGGUUCCUAGUACUAGUAUAGUACAUACCUUUAUGGACUAUAGUAGUAGUACUAGUAAACUUUGCGCUUGGCUGUUCGGGAAGUCGAACAAUAAUAGCACUAGUAGUAUAGUGUAUGCUUCUGGCAAUCUGACACCGAAUUAACUAUUGCACGUCCACCACCUGAGCGAGGGAGAGCUUGC
rnacentral:lncRNA from 1 species